rnacentral:lncRNA from 1 species
UUCUAGUAAAAUAAAACAAGCACUGGUGGACUCCACGUUAUCUUCAGAGAAAAUUCUUGCCCUCUUCGAUCUUCUUUCCUCCAUUUUAGCGUCAAUGACCGUUUCGAAACGCAGAUUGACUUAUAGGUCGACUUGGGAACCGAGUCACUCGCUCACUGAUUGCCACCAUAAAUUUCAACCCUCCUCUUUCUUUUCUCCAAUCAUCAUUUGCAUCUUAGCUUUCUUAUUCUUGCUUCAAUAUAUUUGAGAUUAGUUGAUCUUUUGAUCGUCAAACUUAGCAGCUUCUUUAAACUAUGAAUUCCCUAAGAACUUUUUGCUCAUCUAUUCCCCUCUUGGGAUAUUUUCUCAGUAGUCUUUUUCGUCAGAUCACCGAUAUGAGCUCUGAUGAAGAUGAGGAGACAAUGAAGAGUACUAUCGCCAGAGCACAGAAUGUAGCAGCCCAAAAGCAUUUUCAGCAAGUUCAACAUAUCAAAGCAUUUUGAUCGUCGAUCGAAGUUUCCUUACUUGGACUCAAAAGUCAUUGGGGGUACUUCGCUGCACUACUAUAUAUUAUAAUUUGCCUCCUGUAACCCAAAAAGGCUACCAUCCCAAUAAGAGAUUCGACUUCAUCAUCAAGGGACGAGGGCUUGUACUAAUCUUGUUUUUCUUUUGGUUGUGCUUUCAUGUUGCAUGUAGAUAAAGAUCUUGGACAUGAUUCCAGUUUAGUAAGUUUUAGCUAGGUUAUUGUACUUGAACUGGCAAGUUAGUUUUUUCACUUGCAGACCUAGUGCUAGUAAGGUUGUUGAAUGCUUUUUCCUUUAUUUUCUUCGACUGGGAUGGUAAUAUAUCCUGAUCUUUUGAUUGUGAUCCUACUAAGGAUAGCAUGAUGAAGUAGCUUCAACAACUUAUCAGAUUUCCCCAGUUAAUUCCCAAGAAAAGCUUACUUUUUUUUUUUUUUUUUAUAUUUGUAUUCACCAUGAUAUCAAUUGAUCAAGGACUUAAUUUUUGUUACUUCUAUUGCUGCUAUGUUGUUGUUGUCACUGCAAAAUUGAAGAGUACUUCUAAUGGAGGCACAACGCUCAAGUGCCUCAUCCAAAACCCCAUUCCAACCCGAUGAACUCAGCAUGCACUUGAAAUUGAUUUUGUUGGCUAAAAAGAUGCUUAUGCCGGCCGGAAAGUGGAGAAAAGCUAGAAGAAAAAAAAAAAAAAAAUUUUCUCCACUCACUGAACAAAAGGUUGGUGAUUACAUAUAAAACCAAAGCACUAGUUGCUUGCAUCCCACGAAUCAGAAUCGAUCCUAUUGGUCUCUUCUUUCUGUCAGUUUAUCAAAUCCCAACAACAUAUGAGCCCUACGCCGUCUAGCUGCCGUGUCAUGCGUUAAGUUGAUAACUAGUAGAAAAGUAGGAUCUGAAUUUUUUUGGUCUCCAAAAUUAUGCAUUCACUUUCUUUUCCUUGACUGGUUUGGUUUAGUUUUUUUUUUUUUUUUUUGAGAAGAGACAUGGUUAAUAUAGGAGGUUAAUACAUGGUUAAUAUGCGUGGCGAGAGCAAAUGAAGAUAUAUUGAGCUUAUUAUAGUCAUAAGAGUCCUCACUAAAUAUAUUUAUUGAGAAGAUACUCAUCACGUAGAUUCCACGCAGCAUAAUGGAUACGGGCCUGAACGGUUAUCAAUAACAAUCGUUCGAAAUAAUAUAAUAUUUUUUAAACAAGAUAGUAUCACUUUACCUGAAUUAUUUAUAAAAUUUAGCAAUAGAUACUCAAUUAUUAUAUAUGAGAUCCACAUAAGUGGUAAUAGAAUAUUAUACUUAUGUUAUAAGGAUGUACAAGAAAUUUAUAUAAAAUUAUAAAACGUUCAAAAAAUAUUACACUGAUUCUUACAUAUAUGACUUAGCUAAUAUUUGAAAAUUCCGCCGCGCCGCGCGGGGGUUGGGUGGUUGUGUAAAUAUUUUGCCAUUUCUGCAUGGGACGCAGACACUUGUAGGGAUUCAUGGAAUGAACAGCCGUUCAAUAGCCAACUGUCUGCAUUUGACCAAUCCUGAUCAUUGAUUUGCAAACUUCGCUGUCACAGGGUGCCGUUUCUUUUUCUUGUUUAAUCCUUUUUCGUGCUAUUCAAUCAAAUUUGACAAAAUGUCACUGCUUUUAAAUUCUUUUACUUGUCUUGUUUACACUUUAAAACAUCCUAGCAUUAUUUUUUUGUGUAAUUAUCUAUUUGUAACAUUUUAGAAAAUGUGUAAUUUCGUUUUUGUUCAAUUCUAUAUCUUAUAUACCACUGUUAGAAAGCAAAAUCAUUGGAGUAUCAUUUGAAGCGUCAGUCUAGAUACGCAGCUUUUCUUGUGGUCAGUCAAAUUUCAUGACCACAGCACAGCCGGAUCAAAAACCAAUUCAUUUUAUUUUUCUCUUUGAAUCGAUGAUACACUACUAUUAUACAGGGCCAGAGCCGCUUGCAUUACAUUUUACACUGGGAAUCAAUCCUCAAUCCGUUUCAUUCAUCAUAUACAGCUUUUGAUUAUUACUGAUCAUAUCCACAUCGAUAAUUUUACCUGCAUCCUCUGAUAGUAUACAACUAGUGCAGGAAGAAAAAUUCAGCUGCUUUGAUGCUUCUCCAAUCAGCUCUUCGAUGCUCCCAGGAACCCAUAAUACAACACCGCAUUUUCGAGCAUCCUUAGGCUCCCAAGGGUGAAAAGGAAACACAGUGCAUUUCCGUCGUAGCAUUUUAUCCGUUGUCGUCCACAGAAUUCCAUCUUUCAAGUUACAGCGAUGCAAGAAAGUAAACAUAUCAUUGCAGAGAUGCCAAAAGAAACUCCUGAUCAUGAAGAAUGACAAAGAGCAUAACAGCAAAAGGGAAGACACAACAAUCCGAAUUCUAGCAUCUGCUGACUUGAUCGAUUAGUCAAUAGCUGAUUCCUGCUACUAAUUUUGCAGCCAACUUUCAAAGCCAGAUGAAACAAGAGGUAGCAAACUAUUGGAACCACAAGGAUACAUUGAGAAUCGGGUCAAGAGUGCAUGAGAUCGAGAGGAGGGAGUGAGUCACGAAAAGAAAAAAAAAAAGCAGCUAAGAGAAAACUACAGCAAAUCUUUAAAAGUGGUUCUACCAGAAAAUUAACAACAGAGAUAUGUGUACACGAUCAACUUUUUAGUAUAUAUUGUUAGCUAGUUUAACACACUGCAAUCACAGAAACUUCAUCUGAUACAAGCAUUGAGCUUUAUAAAAGUGCAAGAACUCUACUGUACCUGUGCUCUCUUGAGAAAGAUCAGACAAUUCUGAUGAUUGAGCUGAUUCUGCUUCUUCUAAGAGGUCCAUCAUAUUCUUAUUUCCAGAAAUUCUCCCCUCAUCAAGUGGAGUGUUUCCCAAUCUACCAUUAAAACAAUUGGCCAGAAGCAGUUUAGCUCUUCAUCGUGUAGGAAAAAACAAAUUAAUGUCAACGAAAAUACACGACCAGAGUAUGGUUUGUGAGUACUCAACAGAAUUUAAACGAGAUCUUUUCACAAAUAUUUUCCCGAUUAACUAUCCAAGAAUGAACUUUUAAGAGCCAUCACAUCUUUAUGUUAGAAUAGAAUUCAAUCCACUUAAAAUAAUGUGAUUAAAAAGUCAAAUCAAUUCAUAUGCACCUGUCCCUUGCGAAAACACUGGCCCCUGCAUCCAAAUGCAACUUUGCCAUAAAAUAUAGUCCUUGAGAAGCAGCUACAUGGAGUGGAGUUCGUUGAUCAUAGUCCUUGGAGUUUGGAUCAACGCCUCUAGUUAGCAACCUUCGAAGGAGAUCCGAGUCGCCCUUCGCAACCAGCGUACACAAGAAGUUACCAGCAUUCUCAAUCUGCAACGAUGCUCCUUCUUUCACAAGUAAUGAUGCAACAUGUUCAUGUCCACUCUUGAUAGCUUCAAGUAAUGGCGUGUUGCCAAAGUUAUCUACUUCCAUAAUGCAUCAACUUAGUAUUUUUGAGAUCUUCAGAUACAGAGGUCCAUCAGGAAUUCAAUUGCAAGAAGAUUCUUUGAAGGUUACCUGCGACAUUUAUGUCUACACCCUCUUGGAUAAGGAAUUGAACAAUAUCUUCAUAUCCUCUUGACGCAGCAAGAUGCUGGUGAGAAGACAAAAUGAAAAGCUCAACUCAGUGCAGGAAACAAUUAUCUGAUACUUCUAUCAUAAGCAACACUCGGUGAAACAACUAAGACACACUAAUAAUCAGUAUUAUGAUGCCAUGUACAAUAUUAAAAGGAAAUUUACCAAGGGCGAUCGUCCAUCAUAAUCGUUCUUGUUAGGAUCAGCACCAGCUCGGAUCAAAUUUUUCAGCUGCUGAAGAUCACCGUAAUAAGCUGCACUAUUUACCCUCAGAGCCAGUUCAGCCUCUUGCUUUACAAUAUGGAGUGUAAUGUCUGACUCCAGUUGCUUCAAGCUAAAAGCUGAAUCCUUUUCCUGUUGUAGGAUUUUAGACAUAAUGAAGAAACUAAAAUACCAUGCUUUUUUGUUCUUGUUGAAGAGAUGAGAAAAGAACAAUAACAUAAAAAAUAAAAUUCAGAAACUAGUUUGGAAGAUAUCAAAGAAAUUGGAAAAACAAUAACUUUACGCACAACCAGCCAGAGAAAACCAACAGAAGCAGGAGAAAACAUAAGUCAGAAUUGGAUCAUUACAAGAGUUAAAAUACCUCCACUAAGUUAGUCAGAACUGUUCUCCCAUCAUGAAAAUAAACCUCAAGAAUAUUGGAGAAUGACUGCUUAUCAAUCCGAAGAAGUCGACAUAGCUCACAAACCCGAACAGUAUACGGCUGUGGAAUGUUACAAAGAAUAGAAACAAUUCCAAAUACACUGUUAGGCUCUAGAAGUGAAAGUGUCUCUUCCGAGCCAUCUUUUGCUAUGCCAACCUCCUCCUGCACAAAAAGACUUUCAUCAAUUUAAAAUUGAUAAGGCCUGAUAAGAACAGAUGUUGACAUGAUUUUUUUUCUGGCCGUAUACUGCCAUCAUGUUGUGCAGUGUCCUUAUCCCAAAUAAUUUGAUAAAGAUGAUCCAAAUUGAUUAUAUUCCAUGCUGGGCAAGUUAGGUAGAGUAUAGGCUCUAAGAAAGAAUGGGUAUCACUAACAUAUUGGAAAAGUUAUGGACAUAAGUUCAACCGAAAUAAAAGUUGAAACAAAUGAAAAUGUCUCACAAUUUUUGGCUCAGUGGAGACUUUCCCUUCACAAACAUGUCAUUUAGAGAAAAAGAAUUGGAAAAACAGACAUAUUUGAAGAUGAGUAAUUGCAAAUCUGGAAUGUGUGGCGUGUAAGAAAGAAAUGACAAUUGAAUCACAUAAAACGAAGUUAGGAAUGAAGGCUACAUCUGAUAUAGAAAGUUUAUUAAGCAGAACACCUACCAAAACACCAUGGCAGACAAAAUAUAGCUGGUCUACUGCAUGUCCUUGUUCCAUAAUGACUUCUCCCGGAAGGAAGAACUCCUCGUGAACUCUAGUUACCUGAUAAUGAGACAGUAUGAAAAUAAAUCAAUGAUUCAGGGUCACAAGAGAGAUUCAAUUCUCUCCAGAUUCUUCUUAUUCUCAUAAUUGAUGCUCAGAACUGAUACUCGUGCAGAAAUUGUAUUUCUUGGUUCAUUUUUGUCAAUAUGAAACAUAUACCAAGAAUUGAACAGAAAUAACAAAACUUCUUUCACGGCUGCAAUCAUGUCUCAGCAACUGUGUAUCUAGUCCCAUCUUAUUAUUGCCAUAGUCAACAUGUAGGCCUCUAUCAUGAUUUAUAAGGCCAAAUCAAAUAUGUACAGUAAAAUUUGAAUCCCUUAUAGUAGAACUAUGCAUUAGAACUCCUCCAUUCCUGAAUCUUCAGCAAUUUUAAAUGUAGUCCAUCUCUCUCUCUCUCUCUAACAAACAUGGUGCAUACAGUAAUUCUGUUUUCCUAAUUUGUACGACCAAGGCCAAUGAAAACUAUAACUAAAUUUAUACCUCAUGAUUACUUAACAUCAGAACUAGUUUGGAAAUUCCCUUUCAGACUAUUAAGAGAGGGUAUCAUGGUAAAUUUAAACGAGUAACAAGAGAAUCUAUGUUAUAAACUCAUUCACCAAAAACACAGAAGUAACAACAGAUGGUUUAUGGUCAACAAAGCAUGAAGAAGUACAAUCAGAAGAAAAUAGUGGUCUCAACUUGAACGCAUCUGUACAUAAUGUAUUAUUCCAAGCAAAUCUAAAAAUCAACAAAUCGCUAUAUAUAUGCAUCAAGAGUCAUGAUUCUAAAGUACAAAAGUAAAUAACUUACUAUCUGAUUGAUAAAUUCUGCUGAACAUCCCUUAAAAAGAAUAACCUCUUCGAUAUAGGACUUGUAUAAACUCUGAGAAAUCUGAAAAUCAGUAUAUUAACUCAUCAAUAACAUGUUAGAUUAUAUGGACCUAUUCAAGAAAUAAUUUACAGACAAAGAUUAGUACUGAGCCAAACAAUAAGAUUAGAAAAUGAAUUUAGAGACAUCUGAUGUGAAACAUAAUUACACACCGUUAAUUCUAUCAAAUCCAAGACUAUUCUGGUACUUGAGAAAUAUAGGAAAACUGUUAGAAACUAAAAGCAUGGUUUACUGUCAAAGAUCUUGGGACAACAAAGAUUACAGAAUUGGCAAUACGACUAACUACACCUAGUAAAAGCAUUUGUAAAUUUUUUUUUUUAUUUUAAAAAAGAACAAAAAGAGAAAGCUUAAGCUUGGUAACACAUUUAUUCUUUUUGAUACCUUAGCACGAAUAGAGAUGGGAAUAUCCUGGAGUACAGCAGCAUCUGUAUAGCUGCUUUCAUACUGCAAGCGCAAAUGGCCUCUGAUUUGAUUACGGAUGUCCUUCCCAAGUCUAUUUCUGUUCAUAUAUUUGAUUAGAUCAGUCAUUUUGUCCCUAUAUUUUUCUGUCUUUGAUCCUUUGACGAUUAGUGCUGUCAUGUUACCAAUCAGAUAAGCACCAAGAAUCAUGUCGAAAGAAACAUAAAUCAUAAUGAAGAUCAUUUCUCUCACAUUGACUGCAUGAAUAUCUCCAUAACCUGUACCAGACAGACAUUUAUUUAUCAUGUUCUAAACCAUGAAAAAAAAAAUGAGAAUCUAUUCAGACCAAAAACAGCAGUUCUUGCAAGGCAAACACAAGGUAUAUAGAGUUAUUCUAUUCCACCGAGCAAUUCAUAUAGACAUUUAGACAUCAACAAUUAUAUUGCACUAAUUAGCAUUCAAGUUAUCAAUCAGAUUAUUUAUCUCAAACCACCAGCAUGGUAGAGUUUUUUAAGUAUUGUACUCAUCAGCAAUGACUUUUGGCAUCAAAUAGCUUUAAAAUGAAAAAACUUGGUUGUCUUAUAUAAUAGCCCUAUAAUGGGAAGAUCAAGAAGUAAGAUUGUGUCUCAAGGUGGAAGGCACAACCAGCCAUCUGAUCCCCCUAAAGCGUCCUUUGGACCAGUUUCCUAUACAAACAGCCACUGUUAUGGCCUGCCCUGUACUCAUGAGAUUUCAUAUUAUUGAGCAAUUAUUCAGCAUCUCAAAUUGUUUUUCCUGAUCAAACGUUGAGAACUAUAUAAGAAUGGAGACAAAUACCAAGAGGCUACUUCUGUCAUAUGACAUUCAAUUAGCCAACAAUAUGCUUAUGCAGAUAUGACAUGUCCCAAUUUAUGCAAAUAAAAGAGGUGCAUUAAUGGAAAAUACAUGCCAUUGCCAACAUAACCACUGUAUACAUAUGUAGUUUUAAAACAUCCAUAUCUAAAGUCUCAUUCUCUAGAGCCCCCCCCCCCCCCCAAAAAAUCCAAAAAAAUGAAUUUAAAAAAAAAAAAAGAAAAGAACAAAGAAAAAGAGAUGUGGAAUCACAACUAAAGGUAAAAUACCGAAGAAAAGGACAAGAUUUCAAACUUCUUCCUCUCAAAGCAAACACGUUUCCUAAGUGUUUCCUAAUUGUUAUAUUUUUAUGCAUCCAACAAGUCAGAAAAUUAAAUCUCAUAAGCCUUAGUGGCCUGGUAAGUUGCGCAGUAUUUUAUAGCUGGAAUGGACAUGCCAAAUGACAAAAGAAGAAAACAGAAGAAUCUUUGAUAAAAAGUGAUUAAAGAUGAGUUGCACUUACCCACAGUUGCCAUGGUGACGAUGGCAAAAUACAUUGAAGUUGUGUACCUCUUCCAUAGAUCAAUAUCUCUGAAGCUUGAGUACUGGUAAUCACCUAGCUUCAAACUCCCAAUCCAUGUGUAGCCCUCUUUCUCAGGAGGCAGAGUGGUAGCAAGAUAAUAGAAUAUGCAGGCUGCAGUAUGCGUGCAAUAUAGCUCAACAGCAAUAAGUUUUACUAUCCUAGUGAAGAGAUAAUUGAUCCGAAUAUCUUUCUCCAUAUUCUGAAAAAACUUAUUGCCCUUGCGCACCCGACUCAAUCUGAUCCACAGAAAGUAUCUGACCACUUCUUUGUGGCCAACAGCCUAUUUAUUCAAGUUGUAUCAGAGGGGAUGAGAUUCCAUGCUGCAAUCUAUUUGUAUGUACAAAACUAUAACUUUCACUAAUGACAAUAUCUAUUCAAAACAAUCUGUGACUUAUCUUGAAUUUCAUGCCUUCAUAAAUUGAUUGAUAGAUCUAAAAGGCAAUCAUGAUACUGAUUUACAAUUAGGAAGUCUUUCCUAAAAUCUGAGUUAUUUCAGUUUGAGGAGUGAAUGACAACUUUAUUUUCACAUGGAUCACAAAUAUCUGAGUGUUCUGGAUGCUUAUAGCUGAUCUUAUUUGUUCUUUAUCAAAUGAGAAAGUAUGAGAGAACGGUAACUGUGCAGCUGCAUUGUACUCAUUAUAGGCUUCUUUUUAUACUGCAUGAUUGACAUCCUAUAUACCAUCUCUGAUGCCGCUGAGAAACAAGAUUAUACCCACAAUAUUCUACAACCUAGAUCAUAAAUUAUCAUUUCCUUUUUGCAUUAACUAAAGUACUAAAACCACAUUAUAGUAGUAUAAUCAAUGAUUUAACAAAAAAGUAAGAAUACAACCUUAUAAAUGAAAUCCCAAGGCAUGCAACCAAGAAGGUCAAUGAUAAAGUGGGAUUUUAUGUAUCUGCCAAGAAACAACACAAUCAUUUGUACAAUUAAUAGGCUAAACAACAUGCCAGUAUAAUGCUGAGGUUUAAGAGAAAGGCAACUAACCGAAGCGCAAUUGGAGUUCGCUUAUAGACCAUUCUAUAGGUCUGACUAUCCCUAUAGGCCACAAGGAAUUGCAGGAUAAUGUCCACAAGGAAAGCUGCCUGACCUGCAAUAUCCAUGAAGUGGAGCUUUCUCGGCAAUCCCCUGAAGAACCCGAACUCGAAAGGUGUAAAAAAUGACGAGUAAACAGCCCAAAUGAGUAUGAAUUUUUCCCAUGCCCGAUACCACCUGCAUUCAACCAUAUUCAUGAAUAUGUGAACAUUUUAGGGUGUUAAAAGUGGAAUAUUAGUUGGGUUGGCCAUUUGGCACUAAGACUGUAGUAAAAUCUCCUGAAUAGUGAACUAUACUGGAAACAGGAUAAACGUCUCCAAAUUUCUCUCUUAACUUUCCAAAAGACGAAGUUCUUUUCUUGAAUAGAAGAAGUAACUUAUCAAAGUAAACAAUGCCUACAAGAUCAGAAAACAAAUUAUCGUACUAUCACUUCUUGAUAAGAAAAUUUUUGCAGAUAAUGGACUUGCUUAGCUGGCUCAUGCCUUUUUCUUUUUCUUUUUUUUUGAGCUAAGGCAACAACUUAUUAGCUCAAUAUAGUGAAGAAAAAGGACUAGCAUAAAGCUUAGUCCUUACAAUAGGACUCCAGAAGAUUAACUUCUGUUGUCUUAAUGGAUUGCAAGGAAUGUGGAGCAUUAAGUUUAAAAGUGGUGUUCAAUUUUAUAGACCCAGUGUUCAUCUUGCUUCCACGGAAUUAUUCUCAUGAAAGUGUUGCCAUUUCAAAGUUUCGUUAGCUAGUUCUUGUGAACACCACAUGUAAACAGGAUCCUCAAGCCUAGAUAUCCCAAGUGUAUCUGAUGUAUUCAACAACUUAAUGCUCCUAAUUUUAUUUCGGCAACCACAUUGAAAAGCAUGCCAACAAUACUUCCUAAUAGUAGAGCUUCCUCUUGCAAGACAGAAGCCGAUCCUUUCGCCAGCAACGAAGUACUGAGAAAUGGACAGUCCGCUUAAAAAUUUUUGGACCAUACUCCUUCCAUUUUGCCAUCUUAAAUCUUCCUUUCUUCUUUCUUUUCUUUUUCUUUUAAUUAAAGGAGAUUGGUGACACCCCCAUCUAAAGGAGGUACCAAGAAGAUUCAACAUUUAGCUGGCCACUACACCCGAAGACACUGAGACUCGAAACAAAACACAAUUUUGGUAAUUCAUCGUUCAAAUAUCCAUGCGAACAUGAAAAAAAUUCUAGAAUCAGCAAGGAUAAUUUGUAGAACAUCAACAUUCAAAAAUCCUGACUAUUCACAAUGUAACAUGAAAUUGGAAUAUCACAAUUUUAAAAAAUGGUAGGAUUUUGCUACCUUUUUUUGGUAAUAAAAGUGUCCAGUUAUCCAACUUAAUCUUAUAUUACCAAAAAAAAAAAGUAUUGGGUAGCUUGUUAAUUAAUUGACAUGUAUGUAUUUUUUUUUUCCCAUUCAUCUAGAGAAGAAGCUGUAAGCCUGCAAUCUCUUUGCUGUCCUUUUUGUAUUUUCUUGCUCGGGCAGGCAGGUCAUGUGGACAAACAAGAGGAAGUAUUUUAUUGUUACUCAUAUUUAUUACUCCCUUACAUUUAAGAAUUUUUUCAAAUUAAUUUCGCUUUUAUCAAAAAAAAAAUUAAUAUCUACAACUCCUCCCACGUCCACUUAAAAAAAAAAAAAAAAAAAAAAGUUAGUGUACGUGUUUCCUCGUCCAGUCUAUUUAAGAUUUUCAUGUAACGUUAAAAGUCGUAACUGGGCACCCCGAGUCAACUCAACUGCUACUACUCAUUUGAGUGGGGCCCAACCACCACUGCUCCCAUGCCACGUUUCCUUCGUUUCUAAAUCAUCUCUCCGCCACCCUCAGCCCAGUUCGACUCAAACAAAAACAUUAUCGAAAAUUAAGAAAACAUUCCCACCACAAGCUUGGCAAGCAGGAACGCCACUUGUGAGAGAAAAAAAAAAAGUAAAAAAGGGAAGGAAAACGGACCUGUUGUCAGGAUGAAUGACGAGCCCUUGGGACAGGUCUUUAAGGCCGUUGAUCACGCUUUGUCUGCUAAACCGCCGGUGAGUCGAGUCGAGUCCUAACUCGUUCUCGAUCAAUUCGAAUCGGCUUCCUCGGGAGGACUUUAUUCUGUCCCUCAAAUCUUCCACCUCGUAUUCUCCUUCGCCAUUUCUACUCUCCCCUUCCUCUCUAUGACUCUUUCCUCUCCCCAUUCAAAAUCUCGCACUGCAAUCCAAUUACAACCAAUAAUGCUGCAACCUUUCUUUUAAAAAAUUUUUAAAAUUCUGCAGCCAACAUUUUAUAGAUUGUAUAUGAUCUUGUAGAUGGCUCGAAAACUUUCGGAACAGGAGAUUUGGAGGCAGAAUUUGUCACUGAAAAAAAAGAGAUAUUCAAAUCUGGAGGGCGGGGGAGAGAUUGCUGGAGGGAGAGUGAGGGACAGGGAUGUUGCUUGUGCGGGAAAGAAAGAGAAGAGCCUUCCUCCUAUUUAUACGCAACUGAAAGCUUAUCAUUUCUGAAAAGAAAGUAUUAUUUUAUAAAAAGCAGUAAAAUACUCUGAUGAUCAUGGCAGGCUGGCUGCACUUUUUAUAUCGUAUACAGUUUCCUUGUUUUUUAUUCCAAGUACUUAAAAACCUCAAGGGUUAAUCUUCUUAUCAAAACUCUCUGUUAAUAAAGGUUUUCUAACAAAAAGUCGAAUUGAUAAGCAAUAGGGAUAACUGCAGAAACCUCCCCUAAGUUUUUUUGACACUAGCACUCGCCUCCCCUAUGAUUUAAGAAAUAACACUUACCUCCCCUAAGAGGAAAUUGGGGCCUAUGGCUAACAAAAGAUUGUGGGAAUUUACCUUUAUACCCUAAUUAUUUGGAGAAACCUAAUGAACGAAUUUUGCAAAAGAAACCUUGUUUCUUAUCGACAAAUUAAGUAACUAAUUAAACUACCUGUGAGUGUUACUUUCACACUUUUAAUUUAUGUUAAAUACAAAACCUACCAGUUUCCCAUUCGUAAAAAUAUUAGUGUCCCACUUUUUGAAUUUUACUUACAAAUGUUUAUGUAUUUAACACAAAUUAAAUGAUUCAGAAUAAAAUGUCCAUAAAUAACUAGUACUUUAUUCAUGUAAUGAAGAAAACUCAUAAAGAGCCGGUAUGUAAUGGGCAAUUUUUUUUUUUUACUUUCACAUAUUUAAUUUAUAUUAAAUACAAAACCUACCAGUUUCCCUUUCGUAAAAAUAUUAGUGUAACACUUUUUGAAUUUUAAUUACAAAUAUUUAUGUAUUUAACAUAAAUUAAUUGAUUUAGAGUAAAAUGUCCAUAAAGAGUCGGUACUUUGUUCAUGUAUUUAACGAAAGCUGUAAAGAGUUAGUACUUUAUGGGCCAUUUCCUUUUUAAAAAAUAUUUAAUUUAUGUUAAAUAGAUAACCUACUAGUUUACUUUUCGUAAGAAUAUUAGUGUAACACUUUUUGAAUUUUACUUACAAACAUUUAUAUAUUUAUCAUAAAUUAAAUAUUUGAGAAUAAAAUACCCAUAAAGAGAUAGAGGUAAUGUCCAUUUGCCCACAAACUAUACCCUUUGAAGUUUAUUAAUUGUUAAUUGCUUUGUAGUGCUUUAACAUUCAUUUACUAAUAUUACUUAGCAUGCAACACAAAGGGUAAAUCUGGCAAAAAUUUCUUAUCUCACUCUUUGGAACAAUAUUUUAAUGGCACUUUUUCUGACUUGGACUGAAUAUGCAAUAGAAUCAGUAAGUUCAAGAAAGAUUAGUGCUAUUUCUUAAACCACAGAGGAAGUGUGUGCCAGUGUUAGAAACUUCAAGGGAGGUUUCUGCAAUUUUCCCUAAGCAAUAUACCAUGAGUUGGACUCUCGAAUUGAUAAGUCCCGGGGUAUGUUGUAGGAGGGAUAAUGUAAAGAAUACUCGGUAUUGUAUGUGAUGCGUGAUGGUUAAUUAACUUUUAAGGAUCAAUUACUGAUUCUCUAAACAGAAUAAGGGCACGAGGAAACCACUGAGAUUGCUGCAGUUGUAUAAUUUUUAUUUGUUUAACAUUUAUCGAUGUUGAUUUGUAUGGAUGGAUGGAUUGCCAAGGCGACGGCUGCGUUGCUGUCGCGGUUAUGACCCUUAACAAUGGGGCGGUUAUUAGACCAACGUUUGUCUUUAUCUAUUCCAGUACGUUUUCAGACCUGAUGUCACGCCAACUAUACCAAUUUCUUUUAGGGCAAAAAAAUCUGGACCGUUAUCAAAUUAUUUCUAUUCUUAACUUUUAACCAUUCAAAUAAGAGUAAAUCUUCUGGCUAUCACCGUUUGAUUCAUGAUAUGUAUGUAAAAAUUAAAUUUUAAAUUCAAAUUUUAUAUAGUUAUCACUUAUGUCAAAAAACAAACAGAAGUCGGGCUAGAAAAUCAGACUGAUAAUUGCGUUGAAUUAAUAUACUAUGUAUAAAACACAACAUUUUGCCAAGCUGAACAGCACAAGAUGUAACUUAUGAUCCAAACUAGCUAUGGUUGAACUGUACCUCAGAAAAAGCUGCGAGAUCAGCAUGUUGUGGCAAAUUAAGCAUUUUGCCAGAUCAUGUUGUGAUAAUGUUGCGUUUUGCCUCUAAUUAAUUAUAGCUUGAAUCAUGAUAAUUGACAGCUGAAGGCUGGAAGACGACGAGCUGUCUUUGUAGUCAACGGUAGCUACUUCCCCGGUGAUGUUUUGCCCAGAUGGACAUGUUGGCAGAUUUAUAGUAAUACCAUAGGACUUUCCAAUACUAUUAGUACAUUAUUAAUAAUAAAAUGGUUACAAUUUUAGAGUUUUUCCGUUUUGUGCCCUAAAGACUUAUAAAAGGUCGAUCUGGUAUUUAAUUAGUUGUCUGUCAAAGUUCAAAUUUAGGGCUUUUCUAAAAAGUGCUCUUAGCGCACCCGUUAACACACCUAAUAUUCAUUUAACAUAUCAUAUAUAUUCUUAGGAUUAUUAUAUUCUCUUGCAUUUAUAUACCUUCCCUAUUUAAUCUUAUCUAUCAUCUUUUAUAUUUAUUUACUUGUACUAAUUAAUUUUAUAUUUUUAAAAAUAUAAUAUUUGAAAUAUAUUUUAACGAGUGUCCUAUGGUCACUCGUUAGACAGAUUAAAGGUUCUUCAUUCCAAGAAGAGAGGAUACUGGUUAAAAUUUGUAGUGGGCACAUCCCAUAUAUUCCGUGAACUUAUCCUUAGCAUAUUAUUGAUGCAUUUUGCUUGAUAUAUCAUGGCACUUAUUAGUGCGGAAAGGACAGGCUAACAUAAAAUUACUCCAUUUUCCUAUUAAAAAGUGACGCACAAGUGAAAAACUCCGCAGCAGGGCAGUUUUAGUGCUAAAAGACGAUCCAAGUAUUUAAUUCUAGUUAAAAUAGAGCAGUCAAAUUUUGGUUGCUCCAUCUAAACCUCUUUCGACCCUGGAGGAGUUUGAAUUCUUUAAUGAAGGAGUUUUUCAUAGUGCAUCUCCACUGACUUUAUAAUUGAAGAUAGUGGGAAAAUAUGCAAAGAAAUGCUUGCAAUCACUGAGAGGAAUAAAGUGCUGUAUUAUUAGAAUGCAUGGUUUCUGAAUUCAGGAUAUAGAAAGUCAUAAACUGAGAGAGCAAGAGCAGAAAGCAUAUUUAAAGUCAGUAGGUGGGAUUUGGUGGCCCUAAAAAAUUGAAAAGACCAUACAAGAAAAUCAAAACCAAAAGGUUAGCACUUGAUCUGUGGCCAAAACCGGCUUUGAUAGAUUAGGUAGAGACAUACGACCUUAGGUCCUUGACCCUGUUCUUAGGGAAAAAGGGCAAAAGAAUUCCCAAAACCAUAUGUUCCUAAUAUAAGACAAUAUACUUGUAUAUAUUGCUUUGACUGACCUAGCAAAAUAGUCGUUUUUCAGCUCAAAACAUAAGAUAAUUCAUGUUACAAUUAAGUACUGAAAGUUUGCAUGCCAUCUGUAGGCCACUGUUUAAAGCAUUCUUUGAUCACCAGCUAAUUAUAGUAUCAUAUCAUUGAUUUGACUUAUCGACUUGCCAUCAACUUCUUCAAUGCAUACAUGCAUGCGACAACCUUUAAUGGUGAUUGAUAAAUUAAGCUUUUAAUGGUGAUUGAUAAAUUAAGCUAAGGAAUGUCAUCAGAGGGAGCUGGACUAACAACUUUAAUUAGUGUUAUAAUUCAAGAGAAAAGAUCCGAGGAAUUGUAUAAGAAGGCAAUUAACUAAGCUCAGUGAAGAAAUGCCAAACUGAGUACCCUAAUGGACGUCUACCAUGCACAAACCACUAACUCUUUUUUCUAUAAAGCCAUCAGCCUCAGCCUCAGACUCUAGCCAAAUUGCUGAUGAUCAAGUCCACUUGAAAAGGCUCUUCAAAACCAAGUUUUUGCAAGUGUUGAACCCACUUAUCACAUUUAUACUUAAACUAAAUCAUUCAUACAACUGAUCCGAUCCAUUUGGUCCCGUGAGCUUUGAUCAGUGACUGUUUCUUCUAUAUAUGUACUGGCUAGGGAUUGUUAGGUUGCAAAACUUAGUUUAAACUACAGAGAUGAUGCAAAAUUUGCUUGUUUACUUGCCAAAUUUUCAUACUGUGGGUACAUUUGGUAAGAAAAAAAACGAUACAAUUUGAACACUAAGACGUAAUAAUUUUAUCAAAUACUAGUAGCUAGGUUUCAAUAAAUACCCCCAUUAUGAAAUUUUGCUCUGAACCACUCUGAUCUUUUGAAGAACUCUCCUCUUUAUCUUGAUGAUGAAAGAUUGUUACCGAUUGAGCAAUUCAUCCAAGGACAGUGAGUUGUCAAGAGUUCGGUUUCUUUAGCUUUUAUUUUCAAUCGAUUAUAUAUGCCAAUCUUUAAUUACUUCUUUAUUCAUAAAUUUUCAUCAAACAUACGUAACAAAAGUUUGUCUUUCCCCAGGACAUCCUUCAUCCACUAGAUCGAUGCAUGUCGCUCAUCUAUAUUACUUCUAUAUUAUUAUGUGCUUAUCCCUGAAAUUGACAGCAACGAGUAAAUGCUCAAGUUGAUUAUCACUUUCGUUGAACACACAUGUUGUCUGAGACUUAUACUUUCAGCUUCCUAUCUUUAUCACAUCUGGCAACCUAAUGUGAUUGCUUACAUUAGCUCCCACUAGCUAGUUAUUUGAAGACAUAAACCAUGGACCUAACAAAAUUGAAUAUUCUGGUCUAGUCUUCAGCUGAUCACGAAAUCCAGAACCAGAGAUAUAUGUAAAUACUUGGUGAAUUGAACCAGUGAAACAAUUUGGUCCUGUACAAUCAUUUUCUUUCUUUGAAGGUGUUCCUUUCUUCAUCCCCCUUCGAUCAGGAUUCUCAUGCAUAACGUGAAAAGACAUUAUUGUACGGUUGCCAUGGACUCUCUUUGAACUACAAGCACUUUCCAAAAUUUUGCCUUACUUUCUUGAAGUUUUUCCUGCCGCACGUAAUCCUUUUCAACCUUUGGAUCUCGUGACUAGAAUCAAGUACACCAUUGUGCCAUGCCAAGUUGUAAUGCUAUAACUGUAUGCUUAUCCAAUUAAAUUUACUACACAAAAAAUUACGUCCUAAUUUAAUUUGAAAACAAAGAAUAGUAAUAUUCCGGAAGCUCCUCGUACAUAAUGGCGUUUUAGCGGUUUUUUUGUUACGUAUUUUGCUGUUGCAAUGUUUCUUCAUGCCACUUCUCGUCAAAAGAUAUGCUUAGCGCAUGAUUACUAACAUAAUCAGUUCUAGCCAGCACCAAUUUCAGUUGUAGACAAAACGAAUGAACAUUCCACAAACAUGGCAUGAAACCCUGUAUUUUUAUCCAAUUCUUAUCAUUAUUACUCAAACGUCUAAUAUUAUUUUAAAUAAACAAAAGAAAUAAGUAGGAUUAUCAAGAAUUUUAUUCUUAAUUAACUAACUCCAUAAUAAUGUGAUAGUGGUGUCUAAGUUAGUGGGUGGUUAAUUCUGAUUAGUGGGCAAAUAAGGAUAAAAGUUCCAUUAGUAAUUGACAACCUAGGAUAACUACACUUGACAAGUAACCUAAUCAAUGACACAUUCACUUAGCUUCUUUCCCCCUAGAAACUAUAACAAAUGUGAGAAAAAGAUGAAGAAAACUACCACUAGUUUUUCUUGGUAUGACUCCAUGACAUAGCAUGAUUAUUCUAGUUAAUACGAUAGAUCUGCAAUUUAGCUCCCUAGACCUGUUCCGGCCAUGGCUGGCCUUAGGCCACCAGACCCACACACCUAUCUCUUUAUUCCACUACAAAUUGAUCAAAUUAACACCCGAAUGCUUGAGGAAACAUAAAACAGAUAGCUUGCUCUAGAUGGUGCUGUUCCUGAUGAGCUAGGCUCUUCCAAGCAAACUUAACUCAGUGAUUACCAUCAAUGGUGGCUGAAGAACAUGCAUGGAAAGGUGACCUGGAAUAUUAAAUUGGAGUUUAACAAUCUCAGAGUUGGCUAUCAGGAAUUGGAUCGAAACAAGGGUCUUGGAUUUUGAGGUAUUUUAUCUUAUCUAUGUUGUGGCCCACUUUCGUUUUGUUUCUCACAUUUGAUUCGGUACAUAGGCUUUUAAAUCUUCAUGGUUGAAUGCCAUAAGAAAAAAAUACGGGUGUUUCUGGCUUUGAGUUAGUCAACUAUGACUUACCUACUUAAUCGUAUGUUGGCUGUAAUCAAGGUGUGAAUCUUUACAUAGAAGUCACUUAUAUAUUGAUUGUUUACUAGGGAGCAGUAAUAUACCGUGGCAUGUAAGCCAUAUUAGAUAACUUUGAAGUUGGCUACAAAUUGGAUAACUGAUCUUCAAAGGCCUCCGCGUGAAUGGUCCAGCGGUAGCGCCUCUCACCGGUGACCCUUAAGGUCCCAAGUUCGAGUCUCCGCUCCGCUGGAUUCCUCCGCGCACUUUUCGCGUUCGGGUCGGGUUGGGGCACCGGACCCGGGCCGCAGGGAUUAGUCGGGCCCGUAAAGAUUGAUCCUGACACCCCUGUGUCGACAAAAAAAAAAAAAAAAAAAAAAAAGAACUUCAAAGGCUAAAUUAUGUUUGGGUUUUCAAGUUGAUUUGUGAAUCGCGAAAUGGACCUUUCAUCUAUGAGCAAUAUUUACUAAAGUUCGGACCAACAUCACUUGGUCUAAAGCACUAUUUUAAUUGGACUUCAAAAUGGUUCAAUUCAACUAGUCGAUGUGUAUUAGUAAUAAGAUCUCAAACAUUGGUGAUUGACAAAAUUUUGUUUUAAAAAAACCCCUUGUUGGCAUUAUUAAGCCGGUGAAUUUAGAAAUACAUAUGCAAUGACUAAAUUGUGAUUGACCAAGUUAAUAUAGGGACAACUAUUGUAUAAAUAAAGUCCAGAGUUUAUGACAGAGUUCAAUAUCGAUAAAAGAAGCACACGAGUUAAGAAACGAUCCCUAUAGGCCGGGCUAAGAUAAUCAUGAUAAAGCAAUCAAAGUAUUUUAAAAUUUCAGUAUGGCCUAAAAAGGUUUUACAAUUGACUGUUUUUGUAUGAACUAGUUCUAUCGGUUAAAUCAAGUCCAAAGUGUUUUAGAAGUAACCCAACAAAAUACAAUAAUGUAGUGAAGUAGAGCAAGUCAAUUUCAUGAAUUAGAUUAUUUUUUAAAAAAAUCCAAAUCUAUUGUAAUGACCCAAACUUAAUUAGACUCCCUAAAGAAUUUAUUUUAAAAGUCCAACAAUAUUUUAAAGACUCAGUUUUGUUUCAAUGAAUUCAAAAACUCUUUUAAGUACCCAAGUGAAUCGUGAACCCAAAUGUAAAUUUGAACAAAUCAUUUUGCAUGAAUGGACUUAACUCUAAGUCCAAGUCGAAACUCAAAUUCAGUCUAAAUUAAUUAAUAUAGGGCCGUUUAUACUAGAAUAUAAAGUUUCUUUGUGAAUAUAUGAAUUUAAGCAAUUUUUUUUUAAAAAAAAAAAGAAGAAGAAAAGUUUUGAAAUCGAGGAACCUUCUGAAAAAAUUGUAACUUUCUAAGUUAGGAAAUUUUCUAAGAAGGGGAAUCAUUCUAUUUUUAGGAAACUAUUCAAGUACAUUUUAUCGAAAGUCUAGACAUGUUUUAUAGGAUUACUUGAGAAAAAAAAUAAAUCCUUUAAGAAUAAGACACGUGAACUAAUUAUGGUAUACAUGUUAUUGACAAUAGAUUCGAAGCAAGUUUAAGGUAUGUUCGGAUAUCUUCAAGUUAGCAGUUCGAGAUAGGUGGUACUCAUCCCUUUGUAUUUUCUAAAAUGUUAAAUAUGAAUUUUCUCAAUUAAAUGCUUUAUUUUGAUAUAUGUAAAAUGGAUUAUGUAUACCUAUUUGAAAUGUUUUGCUAUGCAAUAUUUUAUGAAAUAAGUGGCAUAUUUUCAUGAAAUGAAAGAAAUAUGUAUGUGACAUGUGGAAUGAUUUUAUGUUAUAAAAAACUCUAAACGGUCAUAAAAUAGACAGUAGGGGCUAUAGUUCUGGUAUGUUAUGUUAUGUUAGUCAUGAGAGUCAGUGUAAAGUCCGGCCGAUUGACUUAUGUUAUGUAGUCAAGAGGUUUAUGCAAAACCUCUUGAUCGUCCUCCUAGAAUGGUUAAUCUCUAGAUUGAGUACUCAGAGGUCGAAUAUCGCGUGUACUUAUUUGUGAGCUAUAUUUAUGAAAUGAGAUGACAUGAUUGAUAUAUUUUAUGACUUGCAAGUAUGUUCAAAUGUUCAAUGAAUACGAUCGUGUCAUAUUAUGUGUGUUUCUAUACCACGUUCGGCGGAAGCCACCUCUAGAAUUUGUUGGACUAAGUGCCAAGUUGGACGGAAACCACUUAUAUGCAUGCCACUCAUUUUCAAUGAAAUAUGUUUAUACAAUAUUUGAAAUGGGAUGACAUGUUUUUAAUUGAUGUGUGCAUGUGGCACGGUAUGAUCGAAUUUGUAAAUGUAUAUAAUAUGUAUAUAACUACAUGAUCCGACAUGAGAGUAAGUACUAUCUAUUGGGCGUACGUCGCUCAACCACGUUUCUUUAUUUUUUCUUGCAGAUCAAGAAAAUCAACUCGUGUAUAUUUAGAAGAAAAAUGAGAGAGAUGAAUAGGUAGAUGUUUACAUUCCAGAAAAUUGAAGUAAAGCAUUUUAUAGAUGCAAUUUAGUAAAAUGUAUGUGUUUCAUUAGUAUUUAUAAGUUUUAAAUUGUAGUAAAAUUUCGUAAAUUAUAAUUAUGGUGCCUUAUAUUUAUGAAAGUAAGGUCUCGUAGAUACAGCGCGGCCCGUUGCAAAUCCAGUCCAGGUACCCGGGUUUGCCACGUGACACAUGGAGCAUAAGUUUCGGAUGCCCUCUAAGUGAGAACAGAGUCUCGAGUCCUUGGCUUUCCUGGCCCUUAGCUUCGCCAGUAAUUGCUGAAGUGAGAGCUCCUGUCAUUCUUUUUUUUUUUUUUUUUUUUUUUUUUUGGGUCAAAACGACAGGAUUGUAUUGAUCGAACAAAAGUCGAUAUAGGUGAGCACUUGCUCGAUGCUUUACAAUGUGCAUUUAGUACAGUAGGAGAGCUUCUGUCAUUCAGUUUUGUUCUUUUCUCUAGUUCUAUCGGUGUCCUUGGGCCCUAAAGGGCCCUUUUUGCCUUUUCACUACGCACUGCGCUUUUAGAUUAAACGCCUCCACAAUUGUCAUCUCCCCAAUGAACGAGCUGGAGAACCCUUUUGCUGGGCUUGAGCUUAUCCAGAUAAUUUAAAAGUUUUAACAACUGGCAGGGGGAAAAGAUGCAUUUUCCCACUUCCGUUUAGUUUAAGUAAUGCAAAUUAAAAAAUAUAGCAUAUACUAGUGGUCUCAGAGUUCCUGGGGUUCUUUUUUUUUUUUUCAUUUUAAUGAAAAAAAAAAGUUCCUGGUCCUUGAAGGAACUUGGUGGCCAGUAAUUAAAACAGUGUGUAAAGUUAUUUUAAUUAAUUAAUUGUCACAAAUUGAACUAAUUUAUAUGCUAAGCGUGGUUAAGUAGAACGUAAUCAAAUUAAAGAAGCUGGGAAAUGACAAAGCAUUGAGUCAUGCUCAAUCACCAUCCGGGACAAGCACUUCUUCAUUGGUGGAAUCAGACUCUACCGUCUGUCAGCAGAACGGCAUUGCAAAAUAGCCACACAACAAUACUACGAGAUUUUGUUCAUCACUGGAACUAAUCAGACGACCUGGUAUCGAUCCCUUAUCGAAAUUUUUAGGUAACCAAACAAAUGAGCUCAACUAUAUACGUCGAGUCAAGUUCGAGUCGAGCUAAAACGUACAUAGUAAAUUAGUAGAUUCCCUACAAGAUAACAUAAACAACGAAAUCAGAAGAGGUUUUAGAUGCGUAGAUUCCCUUUCACCAGAUAAGAUCAUGGCUUUGCUGCAUAGGUUCAGCAUAAUGUACCAUUUCAAUUGCACGCAACUGAAGAACCUUAUGUGAAUGCUAUGUUUAAACAAUUGAUGAAUUUUAUGCUUUUUGAUAACAUCCAAGGCCUAAGAAGAACUCUAGUACAACUAAAUAAUCAAAUUGGAAACUAGAUAGGUGAUUAAGUUUAAGGAAUUUUCUAACGAGUACCUGAUUAGUACAUUUAAAUCACACUGAACUUACUAUGUAAAAGUGUACAUUCAUAUCUAUUGUCUCUUUGCAUUUCCAUACUUUCUCGAAUUAACUUCACUCUCACAAAAACUUAACAUGUGAGGACUUCAUUAACGAGGGUUCAAUGGACACUGGUUAGCCAAAUCCUAAGUGUAAAACAAGAAAAUAAAACUUUUAGCAGCCUAUGGUAAUUGUAUAAAAAUAUUUAAAUCCAGUGAAAAUUAUUCCGCUCUGUCAUAAAUACAUUUCUUAAUCCUUUUAUGUUUUCAAUGACUUUUACACCUCACAUUCACAAAUUUUCAAAUAGUACUAUUCUGAAAACUUUUUUUUGCAAAUAAUAUUUAAUCCAAAUAGACCAAUUGUAUUGUUCCUUUUAAUAAUUAGCAUAAUAACAACGUUUACGGGCAUAACUUUUUUUUUUUUGUUUUUUAAACUCUAAUCCUAAAUAAGGGAAGGGAAAAAAGGGUCGAAAUAGAGGGAAAAAUUCGAGAGUCAAAACAAAAACAUUACUUUUUCUUUCUUUAUUACCCGAACGGUAGAAUUUCAUUAAUAGCAAUUGAAAAUACAAGAAUAUUACAAACUAAAUAAGGGCAGCUACUCUCAUAACUGCCUCUGCAGACUCAUCACGCUACAUGAAGAAUUUCAAUAAGGGACUUUACAGCCACAUGAUUUCUGUAGCUGCUACAUCCUUUACCAGCCCAUGCGCAGUAAGCAGUUAUAUUGGGUUAAAUCCGCACUACAACGGGAGUCUAGUUUGGGCUCUACUAUGGAUUUCUUGAACGGGUCAAGCAUUGGGCUUGCCAAACCAUGCUCAGAAAAUUCUUUCAGUUGUACUUCUACAGACAGACUGUUGAUAGUCGAAAUGCUGUAUACGACAGCGUUUCUAGCAGAAGUGGGACUUGCAGACGUUAAACUUUAAACCGCCGCCGCCCGAUUUGAUUUAACCGGAAAAAAAUCGGAGAAAGAUGGAAGAAAGAGUGAAAUUUUUGGCUAUGAUCGGCGCCGGAGCUCUGUUGGGUUCUGCUGCUACCGUGGCUGUUCUCAAGCUUCUUCCUAGGUUCCUUACCAUGCACAACUCUUCAUACUUAACAACAUUUUCACAGUUACCUAAAGCAUUAAUUUCUACUGUUCUCUGUGUGUUUUUUUUUGGGGUGCAGAAGAGUGAAAAACGAGUGCAUAAGGAAAGCAGCCAAAACGAAUGGCGGUAUUUCUGUUCUAGCUCUCUUUAUUAUUGUGAUCGUCAUUAAUAUUAUUGUUAAAUUGUACUUUUUGAAGUUUUCUCAUGGGUUACACACACACACACACACACACUCACUUCUACUUGAGUAACAGAUACAAUGUUGACAUUUGUGUCAGGUACGAAACAUUAUAACUAUCCUGCGGUUGUGGAUCGGGGGGUUGGAAAUCCAGACCUGCUAGCUGAUGAAGUAGUUUCUGAGCACCUUACUAGGUACAGUUGGGCUUUUAACUCGCAAAAAAUUUUUUUCCCUGAGCAGCUCACUACUAACUGAAGAAUCUUAUGUAGGACUUUUCUUAUUACAACCACGUAACUCCUUUUUGUGGUUAGUCCGACAUUGCAUUCUAGCUGUUGUUAUGUGUUUAAAACUUUUCGUUCCCCUUUUCAAACCCUUGCACUUUGAGUGCUUUUUUUUUCUUUUUUGUCUUCUGGAUUAUUGUUUCAACUACUGGGAAGUAGGAGGCAUCUUUCAACUCUAGAGCUAUUCAAAUUUGUGAUUUGAAAUAAUGAUCUGAUGCUAAUGGCCUGUUCUUUUGUGUUCUCGUUAGGAACAUUCAGUUCUUUGGCCUAGAGUCCCAAGAGAAAGUCACUCAAUCAUAUGUGGUGGUAAUUGGACUUGGUGGAGUUGGAAGUCAUGCUGCCUCUAUGCUUUUGAGGUCUGGGGUUGGGCGACUGCUUCUGGUGGACUUUGACCAGGUACCUUCUUGUUGAAAUGCCAUCCUUAGUUGUGUACAAUGUUCGACUGUAUGCUUCUUCACUAAUUGGUGUUUAAUUUUACUUAUGGAGUGUUUUCUUUUACUCUGUAUUUUCUCUGUUUAAUCAUCUCAAUUCCAUCUUGGCUGAUCAACACUUUACCUGUUUAAAUAUAAUUUACUUACCUGUUUAAAUCGAAAACUUCCAGAUUUCAUAUCCAAAACAUUUAUAAGAUUUAAUUUUCUUUCUUUGGUGAUUGUUACAAUAAUGUUAAACUUGAUCUAAUUGCAUAUGAGUAACAAUUAAAAUCUAGUAAACUUGAAGAUAUUUACUAAUACAGAGGAUUUAAAUUUAUUGAAUAUAUUGAAUUGAUUUACUUUAAAAUGGACAUCAUAACAAAUCCACUAAUUGAGCAAUGAUAAUCUAACCAUAGGCAAAAGGUGCUACACCCAAUUGUAGGAAGUUAAGCUAGCAGAGAUCUUAAGGGAAAUGACCAUGCUUCCUCCACUUUAACACCGGAUCCAGAUAUUAAAAGAAUAUUUUCAAAGAGAAAUGGAAAGCAGUGAAGCUAUGAUUUCAUAUGACUAUCAAGUUCUGAAUCCCAAAGCCUUCUCGGGUGCUUUUCAGAUGCCUUUUCGAUCAGGUUGAGGGCUCAAGUUUGAAAAGAUGGAAGUGUUUGAAAACUGGAUAUAUGGUUUUGAGCCCUUUUGUUUUGUUUAGUUUCUAUGCUAAGCUGUUUUUCAAUUCUUCCCUUACUGGAUUACCUACCUGUACAACUUUUGUUCCAGCUUGGGUCCUGGUUUCCAACAUUCAAGAGAACUUUAUCCUAAAUGGUCAAGUUUUAAAAUUGGCUAUUUGAAUGUUUUCGUCUAAAUUUAGCUUGAAGGGACUUUUUUCGGAUUUUUUUAUAUAUUAUCAAAGUACAUUUUCUAUAUAUAUAUAUAUAUAUAUAUGUAUGUAUGUAUAAUGCUAUUACUUUUAAAGCUAUUUUGUGUAGGUAUCAGUUUCGUCAUUGAACCGGCAUGCUGUAGCAACAAGAGAGGAUGUUGGUACUCCAAAAGCUUUAUGCCUUAAGAAGCAUUUUCAGUCCAUUUUCCCCGAGUGUCAUGUAAAUGCAAAGGUCCUGCUAUAUGAUUCAUCCUCUGAAGAAGAAAUUCUUUCAGGCAACCCUGAUUUUGUUUUGGAUUGCAUUGACAAUAUUGACACUAAGGUAACUUCUAGUGCUUUUUGUUUGCUAAACUUUUAAAACACUUCCCAACACAGUGUGGAAGUAUGUUCUUACCUGCUUAUGGGUCCCUGCUUGACUAGUUAUUGUUUUGACUAACGUUUCUUUUGCCAGAAGUUCUGGCUUGAAUGUAAAUUUCUAUCAACUUCUGGAAGAAUUGUAUGUUUAAUACAUUGAUUCUCUUUGUUUUGUAUAAGAUCCUUAACCUGGGGAAGUUCUGGUACACCCUAAACUCAUGUCUAAAUGACAUGAUAUAUGUUGGUAAGGAUUCUCAGUCAAAUGAAAUGAUAGCAUCAUUCUACCCUGUAUAAUUUGACCAAUAGAUUAUAAAUUUUUCCCAUCAAAAAGUUAUGUAGAACUUGUGCAUCAGUUUUCCAUUCAUUCGUGGACUAAAAUGAACCUGACUUAUCCUCUUUCACGGGCAGAAUAUCAACUUUGUCCUUCUCAAUCAAUGAAAAGUUUUCAUCUGCCCCUGCCCUACUUCUGUUGCCAACAUCUAAGACUGAAUAAUUGUAGUAAUCAUUAGUCUAGUCAAAUUUGAGAUUUUGAUGUACAAAAGUUAACUUUUAGUUUCCAUGUGAUACAGGUUGCACUUCUUGCUGCCUGUGUACGUAGAGGUUUAAAAGUUCUUUCUGCCACGGGAGCUGGUGCAAGAGCUGAUCCAACAAGAAUCCGUGUGGCAGACUUAAGAGAGUCAACAAAUGAUCCGUUAUCCCGAUCGGUAAUUGAUUUGCCUUUUGGAUUUGGUGUUGCACUUUAGGUCUAUGUAUAAUAUGUUGCAUACAAGUAUUUUGUUCAUCUAAAACUGGACAUCAUUUUUUGACUAGGAAGAGUACUUUAUGUACUUUGUAUGGUUAAAUUGUGUGGCUGAGAAAUGCAUACUUCUGGUAGAAUUCAAUUGGGAAAUUUAGACUAGUAAUACUGUUAGGCUUCUUCUCUACUGAAUUUGGCACAUGGUGAACCAUUUUUAUUUGGACCUUCUUUAUUUGGUCUUCUUAGAAGCUUACACGUAUUGACCAUUGAAGAUCUUGGAGUUAUAUGAAUCAUUCUAUAAAUGAGUAUUAAGAUUGAAUCUUACUGUGUUUUGGAGUUUGCUUAUCUACACUUCUGUUGAAUAUUUAUCAUGCAUUUUGAUCCAUUGUUGUCGUAGGCAUACAGUUGCAAUAUGGUAGUUGGCCAUCUAUAAAUUUUGUUUCCAAGCGUGUUUCGAUAUACAUGUUUUUUGGUGAGAAUAGCUCUUAAGAAAUACUGGUUUGCAGGUGAGACAUCGACUGAGGAAGGACUAUGGUAUUGAUGGUGGCAUUCCUGUUGUCUUCUCUUUAGAGAAACCCAAGGCAAAGUUGCUUCCUUUUAAAGGACCUAGUGGCGAAGAAGAAAAUCCUUCAGAUUACCAAGUAAGAAUACUUGCUACUGAUGUAAAGAGAGAGAGGGACUGGUGACGACAGAGGUAGAUGAGGAAGUAAUAUUGUAGUAUUGAGUCUGUUGGAAAUUAGAAUUGCAAUUGGUAGGCUGAGCUUAUUCGUGGAUAAUGGUCCCUAUAGAAUUCACUUUAGAAGUUUUUACAAAUUUGUGCAUGUAACCUAAGUUUUUUUUUUUAAACCCUCUCACCCCUCUCCACACCCUUUCCACCCUCAACCUUAUGCUUAUUCUCACAAGAUGUGCAGAUUUUUAUUCGACAAUUUAACUUCGGCGUUGGGAUGGUAGGUUGUUCCAGGUUUCAGGGUUCGCAUCAUUCCUGUUCUGGGAACCAUACCUGCAAUAUUUGGACAAAUUAUGGCUUCCUAUGUUGUAACACAACUGGCCGGCCUGCAAGUUCAAAUGGAGCCAGUAGUGAAUCUUGAUACAGAUCGUUACUGUAUUCUCCAUCAGCGUCUUAUUGAGCAUGAAGAGUUACUCUAUGGCACAGCCAUGCAAGUACAGGUACAUGGUUCUGGAUCUUUUUCCUUGGAUUUUCUUUAACAAGCAUUAAAAGAACUUGCAAAUUUCCUUUUUCUCUGGUGGGUUUUUGAGAGGGGAUAUUUUUUUUAUUUAAGCCAAUGCUCAAUAAUAACUUUUUGUCAUCAAAAUUUUACAAUUAGAUGCUUCUACUCUGAUUAAUAAUAUAGGAAACGAUGGUGUACUUGGGAAUUAAAACUCUGAAGCCAUUAUCCUCCUACCCAUCCAGAUAUGAGAAAAUGAUUUUCUUUAUUGAGAUGCUUUAAUUUUAAUUUCUUCUGCUACAUGCUUCUUUUGGGUUUCGUUUGCUUUGUAGUUUCAUUUAUUUCUGAUAGUUGGAAUACUGAACCCUUGUGAAAAAGAGAGGGGGGGGGGUCCAUAUCAUUCCUGGUAAAUUAUAUGUUGAAAUAUUUAACAUCAUACCAUUUUUUGUCACUCUAAAGGUAGAUGUUGAAGAAGUUAUGUAUAUUGUGAAAGAGUUAUGGCAUGGACGAAGUGCAAGAGAUCAGUCCUUAAACAAUGUAGGGCGUGGAAUGUGGCGUUCUGUGAAUGAAUUAAUGCUUGUAAGGUAGGGGUGCAAAAGAGAUUGAUUAAAACUACUUGCCGGCAACUUUUUGACUUAUUUCACUUUCUUUAUUGUUGUUUUUUUCUUCUUGUGUUUUUCAUCUUAAUUUGUCUGUUGGGUAUGCUAAACUAGUACUGAAAUUCUAGGUGGAAACCUAUUGUUUUAAAAUUGUAUUAUUUAGUUCAAGUAAAUUUUUGGAUAACAAAGAAUUUUCAUUCAGAUGAAGUGUGAUAUGAUGAGAGUUGAGAGGAGGUUGGAUGGCAACAUACUGCAAAUUCCAUAAUAGCGAAUGGGACAUAGGUUGCCUUAACUUUAAGAGGGAGUAUAGCUGGGGAGAAGUAUGUUUUCCCAUUCUACCCAAAGAUCCAAUGAAGUCUCUUGCUAGUUUUCAUUGACCACUAAACUAUUUGAUGUUGAUAUAGUGUUCAUAUCAUGUUAAUAUGCUUGUUUACUUUUCUUUCCUGUGGCACUUUAAACAGCCACUUUUUUGCCUGAUUAUAGCAAUAUUUCAUUGUUUUCUUUCCCCUACCACUUUAGACAACAUAAAGCCAGGCUAAAAGUUAUACACAUUUUUUUUUCCUUUUUUCCCUGUGAAACAAUUAUGUUGGAUCAGAAGGCCUUAAAUCAUAAUUUAAUACAUAAGCUGAAGAUGUUUAUCUUUUCAGUUGUAAAGAGAUGAUGUUGAGUCUUUGUUCCCCUUAGAUAGAUUGUUGCAUUGGCUAACUAGAACAUAAUUUCUCCUUUCUAACUCCUUGAGUCAGAUUCUCAAACUGCCAUUCUGUACUUUUAUUUACUUGGUCUAAUACUGGAUUUUCUGGUGUAGUAUAUGAAUAGAGAAAAUAUCUCAAAAUUCAGCUUUUAGGCUUGUUUGUUGUUCUAAAGAAUUUGUGGUAUUUUCAAUAUUUCUCACUAUGCUUCAAACCUGGAUAAUAGUGCACUGUCAGAUUUUGGAAUUUGCUUUUGUUAAGUUUGUUUUCUAAAUGCUGAUGGUACGAAACAUAAUUUCUUACAGUUAGUUAUGCCAAAAUCCAUUCUUCUGGCAUUUGAUUUUUUACUUUGAUUAGUUUUUCCUUUUAACUGCUACUUUUCAGUUCUUUCAACUAGAACUUAAAGUAACUAAUAAUUCUUAAGUUGCCUGAGCACAUACUUUAAUGUUUUUUAUUAAGUUAAAGUCUAUGAUUUUGCUGUAUUUGCACUACCUUCUACUGAUGCUGUUUGCUUUUAUUGCACGGUAUUUUUUCAGAUGGGAUCAGACUAAGCCAGCAUCGGUUUCAAACUUAGUUCUACUUAAAUUUUCAGAGGUAUGUCCUUGAAGGAAAUAAUAACUCAAUACUGUGCUGAGGUUAGAGCUUGUGGCAGUUAAUGUAUUAUUCCGUCUUGGUGUUGCCUUCAUCUUUGAUUGACGACUAUUCACAUUUCUCCCUUAGGAAUUUCACUAGUGACAAGUUCAAUACUUCAAUCAUCAGCGUUUCAGUAAAUUGUCAGGGGGAAAUCUGGAAUGGAUAAAUUACAUUGAAGAUGUAGGAAUUUUCGUUAUAGACCUAAUCAUUAAGCCCUGGCAGCAUAACCUGUUUCUGUUCUUGGCUUUUCUGGGAAGGUAGUGAUAGAAUUAUGCAUGUUGAACUGGAUUGACAAUUUCUUCCCAGGCUGAUGAACAUGAAUCGCGAUCACUCGAAGAUAUACAGAAAGAAGAGCCAGAAUUUUUUGCAAGGGUGACAUCCGUCCUGAAGCAAGCCGAAUCAGAUUUUGGUUUGUAGAACGCCAUUUACUGGCACAAGCUCCAGUUUCCCCUUCUUGUGGCAGUGCUUUUGAAAACAUACCAGGCUUCCAGCUUCUGUGGGAGUAUUUGUAGUUCAACUGCACGCACAUUGAGGAGAUAUUGGCAAUCUGCUGGUGCUAUGGCAGUCGGCAAACGCAUGAUUAAUGAUUGCAAAGAGGGCAUUCAAGUGACUCGGAGGUAUAGAAGAUAUCAGAAUAGCUUUGCUUCUUUAUCCGCGCAUGUACUAUGUAGUAGAGUUCUUCAGAGGAGUCAGUCGGUCGAGAUAUUUUGCGGCAUCUACUUGCAAAGUUGAAAUAGUAGUUCAAUUCUUGGAUAUUGAUUAUUCUGUACGAGGAGAAAUCAUUGAUACGUUGUUUUACUGCAGAUUGAGCUAUGUAAUUGAAUUGAAAAAUGAAAUCUUGUAGUAAUUUUUAUCGACAUUCAUUCAUGAAGGUGGUGUAUCUUUUUUGCCUUGUUGAUGCCAAACAACUUGAUGCCGAUCAAGAGAAAAGGAAGGCCAGUAAAGCCAAACUGAAAUGUACAACCCAAAAUAACUUUGGUAAAUACUAACUGUAUACAACCCAAAAUAGAAAAAGAAAAAGUACUUGGUAAAUUAAAACACAAUUGAGCAACCAAUUUUUUUUUAUAACCAAUUUUUUUUUUAUUUAUUAUUAAGUUUUGCUGGAAAUCAUCCAACACGUGCCAUUUUCCCAUCAGUUGACUAGUCAACCGCGCAACAGAGUAUAUACUCGCUCCCUAACACAGCACCCAGGCUUCACUUCACGGAAAUUGGAAAUAGCGAACCAAGAGAAGAGAGACUAAGAGCUGACUGCUCUGAAGUUUGUCCAAUGUCCAUGGCGGCCUAGGGCUCAAUCAAGCGUCAAGGCCUUCAAUUUUCCGAAAGUCUCCAGGAAGAUUAUUCGAAUAAGAGCACAAAAGAUCCUUCGCCAUGGACACGAGGCUUUUGUUCCUAAUUUCCUGCUUCAUCGCUCGUCUUAGCUUCUCUUUAUCAGGUUUGUUGUUUAUGUACCAUUUCGUCGCAUUUGAAGCCUGCAUUUUUUGUAAUUGUUUUUCUUAUGUUGUAAUCUUUAGAAAUUAGUGUAAUUUUGCUGCAAAAAAAAAAAAAUUAAUGUGAUGAUCCAUAAUUUCUCUUGUUCUGGCUGGCAUAUUUCGCGCGCUGAGCUGUGGUAAUGGAUAAUUGAAGCCUGGGGUGUUUACUGUUUAGAUAUAGGUUUAAUUUGAUGGGAUGCGAAAUGGAGGAUUAAGAAAAAAACGAGACAAUAAUUUAUUUCUGGAAAUUGUACUGAAGAGGCUAAUUCGCGAUUGCGUUGCUGAAGUUAUUCGAAAAUGCAGUUUCUGUUUGAGUUUCUGUGCGGUCUCAAUCAAGUCCAAGGGAUGUGUUUGAGGUGGAUCAUUGGAUUUUUGAAGCAUUGAUCUUGGGAACUAAGACAUAUUGUACCAUGAGGUUCGUGAGCAAAUAAUUUCUGAAGGAAGAAUGCGCUGUUAACUAAAUAAGCUGAGAGUAGCUUGUUUCCCAACUAGGUGAAGUCAAUUUUGUUUCUGAACAAACUAUGCCUGCUGUUAACUAAAUAAGCUGCGAGUAACUUGCUUUCCCCAACUAGGUGAGAACAAUUUUGCUUCAGAACAAGCUAUGCUUGCAGCCAUUAAGACUUUCUUGCUAGUUGUAGUGACUGCUAGGGCGACUGACUGUGAAGUGAAGCUGUGCAUGUUAGGCACCAAUGCUUUCCGAUGGAACUGCUGACGUUGAAGAGGAAUUUUCAGAUUGUAUGUGCAUUUCUCACAAGUUUGGGUAUUGGCUGAUGGACAAACAGUUAGGCCAUUGUUUAGGGGUAAGUAGGACUUCUAAUAGGCAGAUUUUCAGCUUCAAGAUUGAUAGAUAAGAAAACAUAAGUCAACCACAUGUUUAAGAUUUUGAUUCUAGUUGGGUUAGGAUUUCUGGAGACCUUAAUAAAUUUCUUUCCGACGAAUUCCAAGGCAAAUAAACAAUGCAUGAAUAACUCCAAAGGCCUCUCUGUAUACCUGAAAUCUAGAACUUCUUCGCAUAUGGAAAUAGUUCAAUAACAGAAGGAAACUGUAGGAAGGGGAGAAAAAAAUGCAAGGAACUGACUUGCUGCAUUUGAGUCAGAAUGAGUUUAGAUGUUACUUAGUGUGAAGAUAGAAUCUGCAUCGAAUAACGACCAUGAGAUUCAUGGUUUAGGUUCUAGUACAUAAUCUUCCUUGAACCCUUACCACUUACAUCAUUCUUUUCUAGUUGGACAUUAAACUUCAAAAGCCAUUAUUUUUUAAAUGCUAGUAUAGCAGCUGCUUAUCGAAAAUAAAUGCAGACAGGUUUACUGUUCAGGAAAUAGUACUUAUAUUUGGGGAACAUGUCAAAAGUAAUACCAUACUGUUUAUCACCUUAGUUAUUAUUCAGCUGAAGGGAAAAGUCAAGAUUUAAGGUCCAGAAAAGCCUAAUUUUUUAUCACAAAGGAAACUUCGUGUAAACUACAUAAUCAAAUCUCCAACAGCUUUGUGAUCCUAGCUGGUCUCUCACACUAGGCAUAUCUUUUGAUCCUUUAGCAUAUCUUAUUUGGACAAUGUUGUUUCUUCUUUUGGCUAUCAAAGAACAUAUCUCUUAAAUAGCAUUUUCAGUUGGAUAUUGUAAUUUUGGGCAGCUUCAGGGGAGUUGAACUCAUUCGAAUCGGUGCCUGAUCUGGAAAAAUCAAUGUACACAAUUGUUGAUGGGUAUCCAUGUGUACGGCUGCUGAACCUUUCAGGGGAGAUUGGUUGCUCAAGUGGGACUUCUUAUCUUCUUUUUGAAUUGGUUAAGAUAUUCUACUUUGCCAUGUUUAAUUACUGCUCCUUUGCUUAGAUCCUGGUCAUGGAAAAGUUGCUGCACCAGUGGUUAAAUUCAAGAAUGUGAAUCAAUUGGUUGAACCAUCUGCAAUACUGGUUUCCUUGGAUGAACUUGACAGCUUAUUGGCAAGGCAUGUAUUUGAUGACUCUAUAUAUCCAUUUCAGAAGAAUAAUCGAGUAACUCUUCCUUUUGAUUGAAUAUUCUUUUACUUUUUUAAAAUCUAGAUUUUGAAUUGUAUUGUGCUUGAUACGGCUUUAUGUAUUAGUUGAAUCUUUACUUUUUUGAGCAUCUGAAAUUUGAAGCUUCAGAUCCCAUGUUUGUUUCUAUUUUUGCAAGUUUGGCCUUAUAAUAAACUAUAUACUGAAAUCCUUACUGGGACACUUUAAAUUACUAAUCAUUUAGUGAUGUAACUGGACUGAGAUGCUGAAUUUAAUUUUUAAUUGUUAGCAAAAGGUUGAUCUCAAUUUACACUAGGUGCAUUAGGUUCUGGAAGUGGUUCUUGAUAAUUAAGUUUUGUUGAAACAAGGAACUAUUUAUUUUCAAGAGGAACAUGGAAAGUAAAAUUAGAGGCUAGAAAUAAAUGAGUGGAUGUACUGUUUGUUAGUGUUAGACUUGGUAAUGAGUCAUACCUUGGGACAACUUUAUGUUUCUUUCUGCUCCUACCAAAAGCAUAUGCGACAAUUAAUGCCACAUGAAAAUUCAAACAAAACUGGUAAAAUUUUGUCUGCAUACCAGUGAGAAUGGCGGUUAGCCAACUCUUUGGACAUAUUUAGACAUGAUAAGAAACUCAUCUCAUCUAACAUUGUCAGCAAUCUGAUCGCUUAUGCUGUUUUUGGCUAAUGUUUGGUUAUACUUUUUCCGAGUAAGUCUAACUUUUCAGCAUCUCCUUUUGCGAAGUCAUGGCUCCUUUUUCACAAAAGUCAUCUAAAUGCAUUUAAUGAUUACUCAACUGCUUAAUAAUGAGUUGCUCUUCUGACUACCUAAUGAUUUGGCCUGCAGUGGAGUAACUUUUAAGUGGUAAGCUUGUAUCAGAAAAUGAUGCCUAGGACUGCCUCAUCUUGUGCCUUCCCAUUAUGGUCUCAUUACUAGAAGAAUUAGAAUUGUCUGCCUGUUACCUAUAUCUUCUUCCAGGGGAAUCCCCUAGUUCAGUAUAAUUUAAUGUAUGGUUCACUUGAAUAGUUCUAUGCUAGUGCUUUUGGCUGCCUGCUUAUCAUCAAAAGCACAACUGGUCGACAUCAAAUCCGUGUGACUGAUGUCUUCUAUUCUUUCUGUUUCAGAGUAUCAAAGGACACUAAUUUUGCUAGCCUUGUAGCUGGUAUAUUAGUUGAAUCAGGAACUCCGGGUGGAAACAAUUUCAAGGGUAUAAAGCAUUGUCGUUAUUUAUCUGGGACUAUUUAAUCAUUAUCGUUUAGAGCUACUUUAUCAAUGUUUUCAUUCCUUUUCAGGAUUUUCUCCAGAAUUAAAGUUUCCAGAGGCUGAGUUUGCUCCCUAUCAGAAUAAAAACUUUGAGUGGAAUCCAAGUGUAUGUCUUCAGAUAACAUUUAAAUCAGAUCUAGACUUCUGUAAAGGGUAAAUAUGCUUCCUGUGGUAAAGAGAUUGGAACCAUUCCUACCUUGUGGUUCCAAAACCUAAAUUUUGUCCCCUCGUACAUGAAGUUGCUAUUGAAAUUGACUCAAUCAAAUUUACAUAAAUCAAACAUUUGUCCAAUUUUCCUUAUUUUUUCCCUUGAUUUUACUUGUUCCUUUUUUUUUGGAAUUCACUUGUUAGUUGUUGCUGUAAAUUUUUUCUUCCUCUUCCCCUGUAUAAAAUACCCUAGCCCACAUGUUAUGUCAGCAUGGCAGUCAGUUAUUGACCAAAAGCAGACACUUCUGACAGGAUGCUAUCUUCCAGUAUUUGCACAAGAAUCUACUCAAUUUUUUGCUUUUUUUUUUUUCUUGUAUUAGGUUUUAUAUUUUUUUGUUUUGUUACUCUCCUUCACUUCAAUCUUUUGCCAAUUUGGUUUGUGCUCAAGUUUGAUGUCAUACAUGGUUGAUUCUUCCAAUGCUUUUUGUUGGUAAUCUGUUGUAUCUUAGGGAUAUAUAACAUGUUUCAUCAUGGAAAAUGGAUUCUCGUAGCUCCUCUUAAUGUUUAUUAGUUUCUUGUACAAUUAGAAUUUCUAAAACUAAGGAAUUCCUGGAGAAACUUACUCUAACUAUGGCCGCCUGCAGGGAUCUGGAAUAAUGUGGAAGGCUUAUAAUUUUCCUGUAUUCUUACUCUCAGAGAAUAGCACACUGGCCUUGCUGGAGGUAAUAUGCUCUUUGACAGAUUCAUUUCCUGAUAUUAUAUUUGCUUUUAUGGCUAAUUUGUAUUGAGAAAGCUUUUUCUGUUGUUGAGGUGCUAAGUAUACUUAAACUGUCAAGACACUAAGCAUCUCAGCGCAAUGUCAUCCUCCUAUUUUUCUAAUGAAAGUCAUGUUUAUCUCUAGUUUAUUUUAAUGGUUGAGCACUAUAUCAGGUAUCAUCUCUGUGAUUUAAAUGAUAAUAGUGGGGCUAAAGUAUCUUUGCGAUAUUGGUAGAGAUAGGAUAGUGAGAAAGGUUCCACCAUAAGGUCCUCUCUCUUGUUUAUGUUACUGUGUAUUUUUUUACCUUCAUCUUAUUCUCCAUUUUCUUAUAUGUUGAUUUUCAUACCUGCAGGCUGCAACGAAGAAUGAGAAAAGCAAGAAGUCAUAUACAUCAGAUGUAGCUGAAUUUGGCCUGGUGAUGCAGGUAAUAACUGAUUGUGGUGGUUAGAUUACAAUGAACUUUACUACUAAAUAGGGAGAAUCUACACAACUAUUACAAAUUUCUUACUGAUUGAGGUCAUGCUUUUUGUUGUUUUUCAAUGCUUAAUUAGACUACAAAAUCAGGUACUCAUGAUUCAGAGUCUUGUUUGAGAGAAGAAACUUGCCUUCCAUUGGGUGGAUACAGGUGCAAUCUCGUGGGAACUUUUAGCUUUCAAUAUCUUUUGUAUUACAGAAGUUACGUUGACUUGUUUUCUCUACCUUUGUCUUCCCAUUUUUACCAAAGCGUGAGCUUUAAUCAGUUCAUGUUUGUAGUGUCCAUGAGGCCAUUACAAUUUGCCACAAACACUUAACCUUAUGGUUAUCGAUCAUUUGAACUGUAAGAUCUGGAAAACAUUUAUGUAGGUUAAGUCAUUUGCUUGUUAUCGAGUAUGAUGUCCAUUCACGCAAUAUUCAUGGCAUAUCAAGAUAUAAUUUAUCAAUAUUAGUUGUAUAGGUUGUGAUAUAUCUAACUACUCCCUGGGUGCUUUUUGCCAUAAUGAGAUGAUGUAAAUUCCUAGCCAAGCCACACCUUGUAGUCUGAGGAAUACUCAACGUACUUUUGGCUAUGAUUAGGGCUAAAUUUUUUUAUUGGUGAUCAGGUUCAUUUUAUUCACUACUUCCAAAUAUUUAGCCAUAUAGUUCAUUCUUACUUAAUAAAUUUGACUUGCUCAAAUUUAUGAUGGACACAUUAGAUGAGAUUGUUCUGUCAGUUUGUGGUAUCUCCUUAAAAGCGGGAUGUUAUAUCUCAUACGAAAACAUUGGGUCAUACCGUAUAGGUGAAGAAAGCUCAGUUGAUUCUCUGUGCUUUUUUCUUUUCAUCCUUUGCCGUAUUUUCUGUAAUUUAAUCCUCUGACAUAGGUUAGUCUGCUAAUUAACCACAUUUGGGAUCAAGCACAAAAACACAGGUGCUGUUACUUGUUAGAGACACAAAAACUGGACUUCUUAUGAGCUAACUCUCUUAUUGUACAUAUAUCAUGAAUUCUUUCCGAAGGCCUAUUUCUUUAUUCUUUCACUUCAUAUGUCUUCAAUUUGAAGGGCAGUGUCUGGUCAGCACUUCCACCAAUAAACACUUCAACUUCCCAAAAGUCAAAGCCAAUCAUAUUAGCAGUGACAUCUAUGGAUUCCGCUUCCUUUUUCCGUGACAAAAGCCUUGGUGCAGAUUCACCUAUAUCUGUGAGUUAAAUCUGUUUUUUUUUUUAAAUUUUUUUUUAAUUUAUAACUUCUUGUUUCUACAACUGAUUUCUUUUAUGUGAUCUUCUAACACAAUGAAAAUAAUGCAAACUUUUUUUCAAACUAUUUUGCAGGGGUUGAUUGCCCUGCUGGCUGCAGUUGAUGCUCUUUCACAUCUUAAUGGCUUGCAUCUGAGUAAACAGGUCAUUACUGCAUGAAACUUGUUUAGAUGAAGUACUUAUACUAAAAAUUUCUGAUGAAUUCGUUCAUAUGUUCCAUUUUUCUUAUUCUGCAUGAGAUGCAUAAUAUAUAUGUUCAUAAUUUUUUUCCUUGUCCACUUGAAAUUUUUAGACAUUUUUCUGUGUUGCAGCUUGUCUUUGUAGUUUUCACUGGAGAAGCGUGGGGAUUCUUGGGUAGCCGGAGAUUUCUUCUUGAGCUUGAUCAACAUUCAGACGCUGUCAGUGGCCUUGACUUCACAUUGAUAGAAACGGUAUUACCGAUACAUCUGGUCAAUCAUCUGUAAAUUUGGAUAUAGAUACUGGUACCUUCUAUGACUGGAGUGCUCAAUUUUUCUUAAACUGUAGGAGGAAGAUGUGAGUGCUGUUUAUGAGUUCUAUGUCAUGCCUUUGAUGCUAAUUAUGGAGUCUUGUCAUGUCAAACUGUUGCAUUGCCGAUUGCAAAAUUGUUUAUUUUUCUUGAUUAAGCUCCUGAAUUUUUUUCAGAAAUUAGUAUCUUCAUUUGUCAUAAGCCCUCGACUCUUUCAUACAGAUUUUCGUGUAAUGCUAUGUCCUAUCAUGCUGCACCGAAAGCUUGUAUAAACAACAUGGUUUGGUUAGUUUGAACAUAAUGUUUGCUGCACCGAAAUCGAUUGUUAAAAUGUUUGCUGCUUAUCUUUUCCAAAAAAUGAGACAAAAAUAGUUUUUGGCUGGAGAUGAUACUGAUAUUCAGAAUGUGAUAUAUCUUUUAUCCAGGUAUUGGAAAUUGGAUCUGUUGGAAAAAGCUUUGACCAGGGUGUCAAGAAGUUUUUUGUUCAUACAACAGAGGUAGGGUGGUACUUACCCUUUCAUCCAAAUGCACUUUUGUUUCUGGUCAAAUUUGCAUAUGGAGUCUAUCUGACUGCUUUUGACUCGAUGAUAAAUCUCUGUCUGCUCUGCAUCAUCUGUCUCUGGGCUAAAGUGGUGGUUCCCAUGUUCUGCUUGAAAAAAAAAAAAAACUUGUUUGGAUGACAAUGAGGAAUAAUACUGAAUUUUGUGGUGGUAAAAAAAUCUUCUUUCUACUCGAUAAAACAGAUUUUUAACUGCAUAUUUGGAUGUACCUUGAGCUCUUCAGACCUGUGUUAUUUGAGUUAUAUGUUUUAUUACUGCCAAGGAAGAAGAUCCCACAUGCAUUCUUAUGAUGGGAUUUAGGAUUUCUUUCAAUGUUAUUCGCAUUGUACAAGAGGGAUAUAAUGGAUUACUAAUGUUAAGUUGACUAGUUGCAAUGUCAGUAUGAUAAACUACUUUAUAUCUUUAUCUAUAUGAUACUGUGGUUUCUUUAUAUAAUUCAGCUGGGUUCUUCUUACUGAACUUAUUCUGUGAAUUUAUUAUAAAUUUUGGUAAGGUGAUUCCAAGUCCUAAUUGGUUUCUUUGCUAGAUUGUGAUACUUUAUAUCUUUAUCUAUAUGAUACUGUGGUUUCUUUAUAUAAUUCAACUGGGUUCUUCUUACUGAACUUAUUCUGUGAAUUUAUUAUAAAUUUUGGUAAGGUGAUUCCAAGUCCUAAUUGGUUCUUUGCUAGAUCGUGAUAUCUUUGAACUGCAAGAGGCAAAAUCUCUGAAAGAAUUAUAUUUAACCAAUGCAAGAACUUUAUACUUUUUUGUAGUGCAAGAAUUUUUUGGGAAUCUUAAAUUGGUUUAAUCUUCUGAUGUUUAUUGGCAGGCUGCAUCAAUCUCAAAUCAGACAUUGGAUGCUUUAAAACGUGCUCAAGAUUCUCUUAAAACUGAAAAUGUGAAGAUCUCAGUAGCCAGUAAAUCAAAUCCUGGGAUACCACCCUCCUCAUUGAUGAUGUUUCUGAGGAAGGUUGGUGUUUGGCUGUUGAAAUAGGAUUUUAGAGUAUUUCUCUUACUAUAUGAAUUCUUAAUUUGAUCAAUUUCAUCUGUUCCUUGCACAACCACAACACCGCAUGGAAGACGGGAAGGGAGUGAGUCAAGGUAGCAAAGAAAGUUUAAAAACCAAAAAGCCAAACUAAAAAGGAACGAGAAGCACAUAAAAUGUCAAAUGGAAAAGGAAAACUGAUUAGCAAUGCCAUUCUUUCUAUCACACUGAUUACAUUUUUAUCCCUGACAUGGUAUAUUCUCUUGAUUAUUUGUCAUCCGUUGGAUGAAUCAUCUGAGUGGCUAGAAGUGUACUGUCGUUCAAUUAUGCAAACAGCUAGCAGUUCUCUUGGUCUGGUCAUCAAAAUUCACUGACGUGUGCCCUUUUUGUGCCUUAACUUCAAUAGAGUGAAAAAUGUUGCUUAGCUAAUCAGUAUCAAGAUCUGCCAAAUUAAUUGUUGUUUUUGUUGUGCUCUCUGCAUACAGAAUCCAGAUUCUUCAGGGAUUGUUUUGGAAGAUUUUGAUACUGCCUUUACAAACAAAUUCUACCAUAGUCAUCUGGACAAUCUAUGUGAGCUGAUUUAACUUGUUAGAUUCCUAUUAUUUUCCUGAUUGAUCUAUCUGCAAUGCUGCAAAGCUGUUUGGAAUGAUCCCAUUCAAUGUGAUGUAAUGCAGCUAACAUAAACGCCUCAGCAAUAGCCGCAGCUUCCUCCCUUGUUGCCAGAAGCCUGUACAUCCUUGCUAGUGAAAAGAACGAAAUAAAUGAUUCCGUUCUGACUGCUAUUUCUGUGAAUAGCUCUUUCAUUGAUGAACUCCUUGGUUGCCUGUUAGACUGUGAACCAGGCCUAUCAUGUGACCUAGUGAACCAAUAUAUUUCUCCAUCUGCUGCAUGCCCAAGCCACUAUGUUGGUGUUAUACAGGGAGAACCAUCAUCUUCUCCUUAUCCUGGUUAUGUAGGGGAUGUGUCGAGGUUUCUAUGGAAUUUCCUAGCAGACAAAACCUCUGUCCCAACAGAAAAUAGAAGUGCUACUUGCCCAAAACAUUGCAGUGGCACCGGUGAACUGUGCAUCCGAGGGGAAACUGAUGGUAAAGGUGUAUGUGUUAUCUCCUCCACCAGGUAUCAUUCAGUUUGCAAACUUAUGUUUGUAAUUCACAGUAAUGCCAUACAUUCUGAUGUUGAUUGAAUUGCAUUUUAUGGCACCCUAGAGGAUUUUUUGCAAAUCUUUGCUGAUAAAAUCUGUGCCCUAAGGCAGCCUUUUACUGUCUAUCCAGGCAUAUAAUACAUUUGUUGCAUUCAUCUUCAAUAAGAAGAAUAGGCAAGGACAGCUGGGCAUUGAACAGAAAAAAGAUGCAUAGUAUCAGGUUUAGCAUGCGUUCGUAAAGAGAAUCGCUUUAUAUUUUUGUUCCUUGUUCUGGAAUAAAUGAGCUCUUUUCUUCUUUGUGGCUCGUGUAUAUAUAUAUAUAUAUAUAUAUAUAUAUAUAUAUAUAUAUAUAUGUAACUCAUUUAAGCUCCACAUUGUUCUAUCAUCAGUUUUGUAUCAGAUAUUUUUGACUCUUAUUCUCCUUUUAUAUGGUAGCAUUGUUUGUCAGAAAUGCAGUACAGGAGUGUUUAAAGAGCAUGUCGUUGCCUAACAUGUAAUUGCAAGUAGAAAGGAAUGAAGCACCUUCCUUAAUUUAUAAAAUUAUGACUAGAUUUUUGAGAUUUGAAGGUUAAAACAGGAGGAUGUCAUUUGUUUUUACCUGUUGUCAUUUGUACCAUGUUAAUUUGCAUCAUGUGAUUUUUUGACUUGCAUUAUUUGAAGCACCAGAGUAUAGGUGAUCAUAAAUGUUGAGACGGUCACGUUUCCACUUUCAAUAUUGUGCUCUACGAGCCGUCAUUAGUAACACGUUACUUUGAAUAUUCAUCUGCAACGGCACACCAAGGUUGCUUGCUUAUAUCCAGUGGUUGUAACAAAAUUUUUUGUAUAUUCAGAUGUUCUAAUAAUCUGUUUCCAUCUCAGGUAUGUACCAGCUUACUCAACAAGAUUGAAAUUUGAAUCUGAUAUGUGGAAGCUGCUGCCAACUAAUUCUUCCGACAUCAUGGGAGCUGCUGACCCAGUCUGGACAGAGAGCAACUGGGAUACUAUUACACUUCGUGUUUACUCGGUUCAACAUGCUUCUUAUGAUCGCCUCAUUCUACUCUUGGGUAUUUCUGUUACAGUUGCAGCAUACAUUGCGAUAGUUAUUACUAGAUCUGUCAUCAGGAAGGCCCUAAAGCGGGAUUGACAUCAAUUGCCUUAUUAUAGGAUUUACAGUCAAUACGCUUCCUGGAUGGAACGUGAGGCUUGGAUUCGCUGCUACCUGGAUGAUAUAGCUAGACUUCAAAAUUUUAUUACAAAUACUUCCAUAGCUAACUGAAAGACUGCAGUUGUUUAUUAGCCUGGAUGUAGCAAUAUUUUUUUGUGGUUAGGCUGCGUCCUUUUUUACCCUUUUGGGUAAAUGGCAUUUAGUAAAGCUGACUUGCAUAUUGUAGCCUUUGGUAUAUUCUCUCAAUUCAGUGUCUUUUGAUGUCGUUUUGAUCCUGUAUACAAGAUAUCUUUGAUAUCUGCAUAAAUUUCCAAGUACGUGGCUGUUCCCAUCAAAUUCAGCUCAUAAUGCAGCUGAGGCUUAUCAAAUUCAACUAAGAAAGAAAUGGUUAACCUCCGUAGCGGGCGGCGUCUGACUUAAAUCAUGCAGAGAUACUUCCUGCUUUAACUGGGAAUGCUUCCUUCCAUGAUUGGUUCAUCUCCUGAUCUUUGCUUGCAGUUGAGUAGCCUAUUAUAGGUCUUCAAAACAGUAACGAGAUCCACACUGAACUGAGAAUGUGCUCCCUUUCAUGAGCUAUCAAAUAAUCGAAUCUGUCAGACUUGAUAAGGUGAGAUUGUAUCAAAAGAUUCAAAAGUAAGUAAAAAUAGCAAACCAUUGACCAGGAUUUCUUGGAAAUUUCCUGUAAAUUACCAAAACCAAGUAAAUUAGGAUUCUUGUUCAGGAUUUUUUAGAAAUUUUACCAGCAAGUGCCUUUUUAGUUCCCUCCGGAUUUCUCAUUGAUCUCUUUGAAUUCACCAUUUUAUCUUAGUAUAGAACCAUUGGGCAUUGGUCCAAUGGUUAGAAAGAGCCCCUUUAAAGUAUGAGACAAGAAGCAUAGUGCUUCUUGUUUUUAAAAAAUUUAUAUUUCUUGUUCUUAAAUUUAGAGAUUGCAGUAGUGUAUUUAUUUGGUCUGGUAAAAAAAAAUUAGCAUGAGCUUAAGCGGAUGAAAUUCAAUAUCUCUAGAAAAUCUCUGAUAAUCUACGCGAGAAGAUUCCCUUUUUUUUUCUGCCCCCAAUCUCCAAUUCUCAGCUGGAGGCUUCCUUUUUCCAUUUUUCUGCUUUUUAUUUUUAUUUUUUUUAAUUUGAGAAGUCUAGAGCAACGUCAUAAAAGAGGACCUUCUCGAGAAGAGAAGCCCAACUAUUGAAGCUCGGAAUAUCACAUGGUCUAUGAACCUGAAAAGCCCAUGGUUUGAUAACCAAGUCGGUUAUUAACCGACCCGGAUUCCCCACCAACAGCUGCGUGUGAGUUAUACAGAGAAACCACGCGCCUCAGAAUCAUUCCACAGUCUUUCUCAGCUCAAUUUCAGCAAAGAAGUGAAAUCGAAAAACUACGCAUUUCAUUGUGAUCCUGUCCUUCUGAGAUAGCAAUAAAACCCAAAAAAUGGGGCUGGGUUUACUCGCCUCCCGGACUCUCCUGCGAUCCGGAAAACUCCGGCCAGGAAACUUCCCUCCUCUUCUCCGCCGCUCCAUCGUCUCCACUAGUGAGCUCCAAAAUGCCGAAGCAGCCCAAACCCAGCCGGAUUCUCCCCCGCCGGAUCUUCCCAAGAGAACUCCCGUCGGCGGGGCCCGAGUCCACUUCCCCAACCCGGAAGACGCUAUCGAAGUCUUCGUAGAUGGAUAUACGGUUAAAAUCCCUAAGGGUAUGACAGUCCUUCAGGCCUGCGAGAUCGCCGGCGUCGACAUUCCUCGUUUUUGCUACCAUAGCCGCCUCUCUAUUGCCGGAAAUUGCCGUAUGUGCCUCGUUGAAGUUGAAAAGUCCCCCAAGCCUGUCGCCUCUUGCGCCAUGCCUGCUCUUCCUGGUAAACUAAACUAGUUGAUAAUUGAACUAAUUUUUUGGUGAUUUUAUUGCUAAAAUGGAUUUAUUACGAACGAAAAAUUUAGGUUUUUCGCUACUUAAUAUGAGAAAAAUGUGGACUUUAAAGUUUAAUGUUAAUGUGUGAGGAUUGAUGCUUUAUAAUUUAAGAAAGAAAAAGAAAAAGUUGUUUGCUUUCGUUGAGCUUGAGCUGGAUGUUGCAUUCUUGAGAAACUAAUUGCUUAAUUUUGAGCUAUGGAUGAUUCUGUUAUGGAGAGUUGUACUUUUUAGCUGUGAUUAAAUUUUCUUCGGUAGUUGCCAGGGACAAAGGAGAGGGAAAAAAAAAAUUUUGUUUGGUUGCUUGUUGGUUGUGUAUUGAUUUUGAUGAUGUUUUUGCAGGGAUGAAGAUUAAGACUGACACACCUCUUGCCAAGAAGGCACGAGAAGGAGUUAUGGAAUUUUUGCUGAUGAAUCAUCCGUUGGAUUGCCCAAUUUGUGAUCAAGGUGGGGAAUGUGAUCUCCAGGAUCAGUCUAUGGCUUUUGGUUCUGACCGGGGUCGUUUUACUGAAACAAAGAGGUCUGUGGUUGAUAAGAAUCUGGGUCCAUUGGUCAAGACUGUCAUGACUAGGUGCAUUCAAUGUACAAGGUAUGCACAAGAGACUGUAUGUUUGUCCAUGGCACAUUGAAUCUAGAUAACUUGUCACACACCUUCAAAUCCAUGUCAAUUGAAUUCUAGUGAUUCUUGGAUUAUGACAAGAGGUCCUAAGACUAUGUUCAACUUGACAAUGCCAUUAGUAGCACUCUGUCUAGUUAUGGCAGAUCCUAUAAUAUUCUCAGUCAGAUGACUUUUUGCGUAACAAGAUAACAUAGAACAUAAUUGCAAUUGGACAGACAAAAAUUGUGUAAAUUAAUUACAAUGUUGGCGUCACAAUAAAUAAGUCUGCAGUUACUAUUGAACAAUCAACUUGCUGUCAUGUGGCUACCAAAAUGCAUCUCUGUUCUUUUUCAAAAAAAAAAAAAAAGUAACUGAUAGAUGUGUUCUCAUUGAUUUGUAUGUAUUGCUUGUUUUGGUCUUAAUGCUCAUGUGGUAGGAUUUAACAUCUGUGAGCUGGUGGUGUUGUUUCUUGCUGAGGAAUAGCAGUUUGUUCAUUCUGCUCUUCUUUCAUUGUCUAUUUUAGAAUUCAAUAUAUAUUCUUUUUGUUAUUAACUGGAUUCUUAGAUAGUCUAAGCUGAGAAUGCUUGUGAGCUUGAGGAUAGAUACCAAUAGAUGGAUGAACUUUGGGAAAUGGAGGUGUCAUCUCUUCUCCCUAGUGCCAAACAAAUUCUUAGAAAUGACUUUUGAAGUUUAAGAUGUAUUGAUUUUUUUUUUUUUGUUGAGACGAAUGCUGAAUAAUUCCAUAUUGCAUUGCACUGUUUUUACCUAUUUCGUCAUGUGGCUUGAAUUGUCCUUUAACAUGUUCAAUGCUCAUAAACAGGUGUGUAAGAUUUGCGACUGAAAUAGCUGGGGUUCAGGAUCUUGGCAUGUUGGGUCGUGGCAGUGGGGAAGAAAUUGGAACUUAUGUGGAAAGACUCAUGACAAGUGAACUUUCAGGAAAUGUAAUUGACAUUUGUCCUGUUGGUGCUCUAACCUCAAAACCUUUUGCCUUUAAAGCUCGAAAUUGGGAAUUAAAGGGAACCGAAAGCAUUGAUGUUACAGAUGCUGUUGGUUCAAACAUUCGGAUUGAUAGCAGAGGCCCAGAGGUUAUGCGUAUUUUGCCACGAUUAAAUGAGGUACUUUAAAUUAGCCUGUUAUGAUGCUUUUGGUCAUAUCUACAACUAGUCAUAGGUUUGACUACCCUGUGCUUCAUUUUCUCAUAUAGGAUAUCAAUGAAGAAUGGAUAUCAGACAAAACACGUUUCUUUUAUGAUGGACUAAAGAGACAGAGGUUAAAUGACCCCAUGAUUCGCGGUCCAGAUGGACGCUUCAAGGCAGUGAGUUGGCGUGAUGCUCUUGCCGUGGUUGCUGAGGUCAUCCACCAAGUCAAGCCCAGUGAAAUUGUUGGAGUUGCUGGUAAGCUGUCUGAUGCAGAAUCCAUGAUGGCAUUGAAGGAUUUCUUAAACAAAAUGGGGUCAAAUAAUGUUUGGUGUGAGGGUAAUGGCCCAAAUCCAAAUGCUGACAUCCGCUCUGGUUACAUUAUGAACACCAGCAUCAGUGGCUUGGAGAAGGCAGAUGUUUUUCUCUUGGUUGGUACUCAGGUAAUGUUCUUCAGCUGUUAAGGCAUAUGCACUUAACAUCACGUAAGUUACUUAGCUAUGUGGGUAAUCUGUAAAGAAUUUACAUGAUAUGCAUAUCUGCAUGUGUUUGUGGGGGCUGUCUGUAUCAUCUUCCUCUUCCCAAGAACAAGAAAAUAUUUUGUUAAGAGAUGAUCAUGAGCACCUCAGACGUUAGUUAUUGCUUGAUCAGAUAGAAAGGUCAGUCUGGAAUUAUGUAAUUAAUUUUGUUCCUGUAGAGAACCUUAUCAAUGCUGGUUAUUUGAUAAAUGAAGACUUAUGGAAGAUUGAUGGAUGCUUUUGAUUUUUUGUGGUUGUCAUUAACCGAAGUUUAAGGAGGUUACAUCUGCCUCAAAUGCUGGAGCACAUUUAUUUUUGUCUAAUCCCCUUUUAGACCACUAUUGAGAACCAAAAUUUUACUCUUAAUGUUUCUCAUAUAAUUUGCAGUUGCAAUUUAAGAGUAUACUAUAAUUGCAAUAGAAAAUUAAACACUUGCUGCACCCUGAAGUCUCUUGCUUUCCUUUAUCUGUACUCUUAUUUUAAACAAGAGUUUUAUGCAGCCAGCUGAGCGUACGUCUCUCAAAGAUGUCAUGAAUUCUCUCAUAUGAAUGGGAUCCUUUUUUUUUUUAAUGGGACUGUUGUUUUGCUGCUUAUUGAUGACCUUGUGCAUGUCUCUUGAAUCUUGUAAGGUUAUUCAGUUGUAAUGCAUUUUGAGCUGCAGUUGAAGGUUUUUCUCUCUGAUUGUCGUAAUAACCGUAAUUUUUUUAACAUGGAUUUUAAUAGCUGUCUGACAUGUCAUGUUCUUUCCUUUGCCAUCCCGUAUGCAUAUUUUUUGGCUUUGUAACCAAUGCUUAUUGUUUAUGAUGUUCUCAGCCAAGGGUUGAAGCUGCUAUGGUGAAUGCCAGAAUUCGGAAAACUGUUCGAGCUGCCCAAGCUAAGGUGGGCUAUGUUGGUCCUGCAACAGACUUAAACUAUGAUCAUGAACAUCUUGGUACAGGUCCUCAAACACUUAAAGAAAUUGCGGAUGGUCGCCAUCCUUUCUCUUCAACAUUGAUAAAUGCCAAGAACCCUUGCAUCAUUGUUGGUGCUGGGGUUUUUGAGAGAAAUGACAAGGAUGCAAUUUUCUCAGUUGUUGAGACUAUUGCAGAAAGUGCAAAGGCUGUUAGACCCGACUGGAACGGGCUUAAUGUGUUGCUAUUAAAUGCUGCUCAAGCUGCAGCUCUUGACCUUGGACUUGUUCCAGAAUCUGGUAAUAGCAUUGAAUCUUCCAAAUUUAUUUAUUUGAUGGGUGCUGACGAUGUGAACUUGGAGAAAAUUCCCGAGGAUGCCUUUGUGGUUUACCAAGGACACCAUGGAGAUCGUGGUGUAUAUCGUGCAAACAUAAUUCUUCCAUCAUCAGCCUUUUCUGAGAAAGAGGGCACAUAUGUUAAUACAGAAGGGUGUGCUCAAACUACUGUACCAGCAGUACCCACUGUAGGUGAUGCUAGGGAUGAUUGGAAAAUAAUUAGAGCAUUGUCUGAGGUGGCAGGCGCAUGUCUACCCUAUGAUUCCCUUACUGCUAUCAGAUCUCGGAUGAGGACUGUAGCACCAAAUCUACUGAAUACUGAUGAGAGACAACCUGCAAUAUUUUCUUAUUCUUUGAAGCCUGAGUCACGCCAGGAGAUGAGCACUGUUCCAUUUGGAACAGCAGUGGAGAAUUUUUACAUGACUGAUUCAAUCACUAGGGCGUCCAAGGUAAUGGCUCAAUGCAGCGCAUCAUUGUUGAAGAAAUGAGCUCUGGAAAGCGAUGGACUUGAAAUAAGGGUGUCAGUUCACGUUUUGCUGUUUGGCUUCUGUAUCCUAAAUUUACGCCAUCUAGGAUUCUUUGUUCGUCAAGGAAAUAGAGAGGAUCAAGGAAAAAGAAUGAACUACAAUGCCGUAGCGGAAUUUUCUCAUAAAUGGCAAACCAGCUUUGGCAAUCUUUUGUACCUUUCUGUAAUUUUAAUCAGCAUCCAGCAUAUGGUGAAUCCAAAGUUACACUGGCCUUGGUUUAUAUUUUUGGCUCCAUGAUAUUUUGUUCUUUCUAGCUUUUUUAUUUCUAAACUUUUCAGUCGUGCGGCAAAGGUUGUCAACAUACAAUGAUAAAGGCAGUAGAAUCUCAAUAGUGUGCUGGAAAUCAUCUGAGAUGGAUUCUACAGUUGCAAUGCCAUUAAAUUUUUAUUCUUCCGUAAUGGUAAAUGUUAUUAUCUAAUUGCUGAUGACGUUCACAAAAUGCUUUCGCUUGUCAUAGUGGCUUGGCUCCUGCUUUCUUGCUCAUCCCCGUUGUAGGUUGAAGAAGAAUUACAGGCUUUGGCAGCAUUUAAGUUGUGUGCUUUUGUCAUGUCAUUGCAAUAAUUCCGAGCUCGACUGUAAGAUAUGUGUAUUUCCUAGGAAAGAGUACGGGGAUGUAUGAAGUGCUUGAAGCGGGAUAAAAUUUUUGGCGACCUCAUUGUUAGUUAUAAAUGUCAGAAAUGGUGGCGAGCAUAUUGAUUUUCGUUUCUUGCCAAUCAUUUUGUAUUGUUUUUAUUAUUGGAUGUCUGGUAUCAACUGAAAAGAAGCUCAUUAGCAGCGGCCGAGGUUGUAAAUGACUAAGCAACAUCAUACUGGUGUUUUACCCCUUAAAUCGAAUUCAGCUGAGGUUGAAACUCUUGAUCAUAAUUUCCAGUACUCAUACUGCGGCUAAUAUGCAAGUUAUACUUGAUCGAAACAAUAAUUACUCGUACAAGAUGAUAUCUGGAUGAGACAUAUUAUGCUGGAACAGAAUAUUUGCAACUCACCAACCGCUUUUGGAGAAUAUUUCAUGCAAUCACCCAUGUUACAGAGGCAAGCCCAAUAAUUUCUGCCAGAAGCUUGCAGCCACGAUUUAUGCAAGGUUGCAAUAGUACUAGCAUAAUUUCUUAAGCCAACUGUGCACCAUCUUCAAGGUUAGUUUGCUGGCUGAACUUGACAUUGGCCUGAUAGGCUGAUCAUUGUGAACGUUUCCCCAUCCAUUGCAUCCCAAGUAAGACGGGCAAAAAGCUUCAAGUCCACUCUUAUGUACUGUAAAUUAAGGCGUUAGGCGUGCAUUAUUCUGCUAAAACAAGUAUAUGCCAUAUACAAUUAGCUAGGAUGAUGCACAAAGAAAGUAGCGUAGCGUAUACGUCUGAUAGAAUCUAGAUUUUUCCUCCAACGAAAAGCUAAUUACCCAAAGCAGAUCCUCAAAGCAUGUAACUUUGAGCAAGUGGCAGACCAAGCAUCGCAAAAGCUGCAGAUAUACUACUACUAUGAUUUUCUGUACCUUAAGGAGCAUUAGGCUGUCACCUUUUCUAGUUUCUGUCCAGCUGAGAAGCCUUCCUGCCUUUUCCUGCAACGUGGGAUAGAUAAACGCUGUAAUGUCAAGUUCACUACUUCUGUAACUAGAAAGAAAUUGUAGGACCAAAAGACACAGCAAAAGAAAGCUUUAACAGGAUCUUUAAUAUCAAAUACACUGCACCAGGGAACCAAAUUGCUAAUCACAGUAUGGAGUACUUUACCUUGGCUUGAAACAUCGCUACGACAUAACAGAAUUCUAUAUGACCCUCACAUAAAGCACUGGAAACCUUUCCUCUUUAUCAAUAUUCUUGACACAAAACAGCGCACAUGCCAAAUAUCAACUAAACACCAAAACUCUUUCACAUGUAUAUUUGAUACUUGAUACUACAACAAAACAAUAUGAAAAGCAACAUCAGCCUCUAAGCAGUGCGAGCAAUUAUCUCAAGUUUGCACGCCAUAGUCUUUUUACUGACUUGCACAAGAUACCAAAAUGAUCUCGCACUCUCUUCAAUUUCUCACAAUCUAGUUAAAGUCUCACCAUAACAUUUUGCCGCUAACAUUAAUCUUGUUGAUUUUACCACUCUCACCAUAAAUUCCCGCCACAAAUAUUAAUCUUGUCUGUUGACCAGGCCAAUCCCUCUUAAUUAAACAUUUCUACAGCUGCAAAUACACAUUAGAUGAGUAGCCUACCUUAAUUGCUCAAUCAUUUCAGCUUAUCAAUGCGGACCAGGGGCACUUAUGGUUGGAGAUUUUGUACAAUUGUUGUACUGUCUACACUAUAUCGUGUACUCUUACAUAACUUUAUUGUACUCAAAUUUUAUUCAUGCACACCAUUUCAAAGCAUAAAAUACACCUGUCCCUGUAAGCAUACAAUCACAUUAUACAUGCAGUACACCAACCGUACCUGACUGGACCUAAGCCAACCGUACCUGCCCCAUUCCCCAUCAAUGCAGAUCAACAAUUUGCCUGUUUGGUGAAAGAGACAUGCCCCUAGAAAGUUUUUUUCAUAUGCUAUUGGAAAAAAUCUUGGCAUUUGGCAAUCAAAACAAACAAUAAAUGGGCAAAAAUUAACAAAUACGGAACUUCAACAAUUUUUUUUUUGGGUCAAAACUUCAACAAAUUUUAAAUGUUUACAUCUUACAACCUUUUUUUUCACGUAACAAUUAAUUAAGAGACUAAUCCCUAAUAGGCAGACAUCUCUCCCCACCCCCCCAAAACCCACAAAAAAAAAUCAUUGCAUGUGAUACUCAUUUGAGGUAAAGCAAGCAUUUUGAACAAUUCCACCCAUAAAUCUAAGACUUCAACUUACCCUUGCAAACUAUCCAGUGAUAGCAGUCUAUCAUUAUAAAGACACAAGUUAAUUGUAAUUCUGCUAUCCCCAAAGAUAACAAGAUCAAACAGACAAAACAGAUAAAAGAGCCUGAAAGUUACAGUUAAACACAUUUGACUUACUGCUCAUACAAUUUGAUUAGUGACCUUGGCCUUUCAUAACCACCUUCAUUCUCUUGUUGUCUUGGUUUUCCUGGAUUUCUUGAUUCUGGUUUCCAGUUAGCUUUGGUCAAUGAUUCACCAAGAAGUUCUGCAAUGUCUACCGCCAUUGCCUCAACCUUCUUGACAUAGGGAAAUUUCUCCUCUUCAAAAUGGUUAGACAACCACAAAUACAUGGACAAUACUUGAUGCUUAGUCUCAAGGUCCAAGAGCUCUGAAUCAUUACGUGCAAUACAUUUUGGCAUGCCCAUUGCAAUAUUGACAGGGACCUUAUGUGCAUAUGAUGACGCAAACCUCAGAAGAUGGUACAUUGCUUUCGGAUCUCUAAUAUUAACAGGGGCAAAGCAAAAAUUGAAACGAUCUUCCAGAGAUAGCCCUUGGACCUUCUCUAACAUAUUUGCAAUUUUCUUUAUAUGGUGAUGGUGGCACAGAAAGUAAGACCCAUCUAACCUGCAAUUUUCGGCAAACUUUUCAAGUAGCUGUGCAAAAGUAACAUCUGGAAAUUGGCCAGCAAAUAGCUCGACCUGUUCAAAGAAAGGAAAGAGACCAACUUUCUUAACUUCGUCAAAUGGCUUCUUCAAGCACUCAAUCAAGUAGUCCAAAUCUUCAAGGUGCAAAGUGGUAGUUAGACCCUCAGGGUAGCGACUCCCUCUUCGGCCAGCUCUUCCAGCAAUCUGCUUCACCUGGGAAGCUGGAACUGGAACAGUCUUAUCACCAUUGUACUUUGAGAGACUAUAGAACACAACCCUUCUAAUAUGAAGAUUCAAACCCAUUCCCACAGCAUCACUUGCGACCAAGAUGUCAUAUUCAUUAUUGUCAUCAUUAAACAAGUUGGCUUGCUGUCUACGGGUCUCUGGUGGCAGCGCACCAUAUAUGACACAGCAACGGUGUUUUGUGUACUUCUCAAUUGCUAAUUUCACUUCAAAAAUCUCUCUCCUGGAAAAUGCAACAAUACAAUCCCCAGAUUUCACAUUUUUCAAGUCUCCCAAAAGGGUCUUCGCCUCAACAACCAGUGGCUUAAACCUGUCAUAACGUUGUUCAACCAACUCAUCCCCAGUCUCAGAGCAAAUCUUUCUAACAAUGUUUAAAACACUUGGAUCGCCACAUAAAUGUAUCUCAUCAGCCUUCAAUCCAAGCAAAGCCCUCGUCCAUGCAUCACCUCUAGAUGGAUCUGCCAUCAUUUGUAUCUCAUCAAUCACGGCCACCUCAUACAACUCAUCAACCGACACCAUCUCAACAGUACAAGCAACAUGAUUUGAAAAUGGGACAUAUUUUUUCUCUUGCCCAGUUAAGAGACUACAGUAAACCCCUAAUGCAUUCACCUUAUCAAAAACUUCCAUAGCCAACAACCUGAGAGGACUGCAAUAAAUACCCUUUUUUGCUUCCAUAAACCUCUGCAAAGCAUUAUACGUUUUCCCACUAUUAGUCGGACCACAGUGAUAUACAAUUUUCCUUUUCAUUGCCCUAGCAAAUGGAAACCAAGUAUGAGGCUUCGUCAAAUCAGCUGAUUCAACCAUACUCCUGAACCUCUUAAUUUCAUCAGGAAACUCUUCUAAACAAAACUCAACAAAAAUUGGAAACAAAAACUUCUCAGCCUCAAUACCAGGGGCAAGGAAAACCAAGUACUUCACUAUAUCAAUCUUGCACUUCUUAAAAAAAAAAUUACGAAAUUUAUGGGCGGCUGUAGGAAAAAAAGAUGCACCAAUGUACACAGCUAAAGCCUGGUUAGAAGCCCAACCAGAUUUUGCAAAACCUCUGAAAACCUCAAUUAACAGAUCCCAAUCACUCCUACUCUGCUUAUCACUUUUAGAAGCAUCUCUAAGCUCUUUAUAAAUUUCUACCGGAUCCCGGCUAGCUAUCUGAGCAAAGUUCAAUCUUUUCUCAGGCUCUAAAUUCUCAUUUCCAGGUCCAUUUUCAUCCAAACCUAUAUCACUAAUACUAUCUACUUCUGUAACUUCUGAUUCAAGAGCAGGUGCAGAAUUCAAAUUUGGGGUUCCAUUUUCUACUAAUGUCGAGAAAGGGUGUCUUUGGAAAUUUAAACACCUAUAAUUAAGUGAUUGUGUAAAGUGGGAUGGGGAGAAUUGAGGUGGGAUACAGAAUUUUGAAUCAGGAGUGAGGAAAGGAUGGGAAUUUGAUGGGUUUGGGGAAUCAGCCCGAUGGAAUCUAUUGGGAAGAAGAAAAGCUCUCACCUUGGUGAAAUUGUCUCUAGAGGAAUACAGAUAAAGGAGGUUCCUUGCAGGGCCUCUUGCCAUUACCGGGAAAAAAGAUAAAGAGUGGUAGAAAGAAAGAAAUAAUGCGAUAACUUACAUAGAAGUUAAAGUCAGAGUUUUUUUUUUUUUUCAAUUAGAUAGGAAGAAAAAAUGUACCUGGUCGGGCGGGGGUGAGAGAACAGGAGAAAAUGGAGGGGAAAGCGAGAAAUGGUGGUUUAUUGUCCAAGUUCUAAAACCCUAAACCCAGCGGGUGGGAGACAAACAGAGCAGUGGGUGGAGCUUGUGAGUCUGAAUUUUUUUUUUCCCUUAACAACUAGCUUGAUUGCAUUUUUCUGGAUUUUUUAAGAAAAAUUACUAUAGCAAUUUAAUAUAUGUAAAGUAAAAAAGUGAGUGAAAAAUGUAUUCAUGAAAAACGUAAUAAUUUUUCAAUUAUCCAAACAAGGCCGCGCAAGAAUAUUUUGAAGAAAAAAAAUUUUUUUUGCAGACCUAUGAAUUCACCCAUCAACUGUACUCAAACCUUCACUUUAGUCCUUCAAUCUCAAAUUGGACACUUCAAUCCUCAAACUAUAAAACUGACUUCAACAAAAUUCAUCGACGGAAGUCUGACAUAUCUUAAACUUAAGUUGAACAAAAUUUAUAUUUUAUGGAUUAAAAUAAGAUAAGGUUUUUAAUUUAGGGACUAAAGUAAAAUAAAUUUUAUUAUUUUUAGAGUUAAAAGUGAAUAGAUUUAUACUUUAAAACUAAAAUGUACGAUUUUAAAUUUUAAAUGUUAAAGUAAGAGUUCGAGUAUCAAUUGAUUCAAAGUGGAACAACCCUUCAACUAUACUUACUUCUUGUUGUUGUAAGAAUAGCACUAACAAUUUUGAUUUAAAAAGUUACAAGUUGUUUAUCUAAUCUCCUAUGUAUGUAUAUACUGAACAACUUUUGUAGUACUAAUUUUCAUGACUUUUUUUUUUUGGGUGACAAAGCCCUAGUAAUCACACAACUAGAAGUAUUGCCAAUGCAGUAAUUGUAUAGUUAAAAACAUUCGCAACAAGGUAAUCACACAAUUAGAAGCAUUGCUAACAAGAAUUAUUGUGCUAGAAGUCUUAUCUCGUGUUGGUACAACUUAUCCACAAAAUGUAUAUUUGAGCAUUGCUCCAACUUCAACUCCAGCUCCUGAUCAUGUUUACACGUAUACCAGUUUUAGCUUUUCUAUACUACUAAAAGAGUUGAUAAUAGUGCAAAACUACAACCCAAUUACUUCUAAGGAACGGUCAUUGUGAUUAAUGAGAUGUCGAAGAGAGUUAAUGUUCCUUAAUGUUGUAUUCAAACGCUCUGAAAAUUGUCAUAAAAAAUUGUGUUUGGAGGUGAAAGUCAAUGUCUCGAACUCUCAAUUCAUGUUAAAGAUCAUGUAGUCUAGUGGUGUAAUCUGAAGGUGAAGUGCACUAAUGGUGAAAUGUUGGGUUAAAUGCACAAAAGGUUGGGAUGGAGCGCUAAAACAGGUUUAAACCUUUUAGAAUGGUAAUACUAGUGUUAAAUUUUGAUGUUUCAGUAGAUCAAUCAAAUUUAGCACUUAGAUUCAUCAAUUUUAAUGGUAGAAAUAGAUUUGAUGAAAAUUUGACACUCUCUUAUUAUUGAGGAACCAAUUUGAGAUUUAAAAUAUAUAAAAGGCCAAAACUAGAUAUUUGAAAUAGAUUAUGAGCUCUUUAAGUCGUUUACCUAUUAUUUUCAUUCGUCCAAUUAUUGAAAAACACCAAGUGUGCUAAACGAAAUUAUGAGAAACUUGAGGGUAAAAUUUUUAAAUAACCCUCUCAACCCUCCAUUUCCUCGGCGAAACAGUAGUAUAAGAGCAAGAAUAAAAACACACAGGAUCCUCAGUGCACUUUUUCAGUGGCAAUUCAGUGUCACUUCUAUAUUUAUGCCAAAUGUCUUGUUUAUUUAAUUUGUCAUGUGCUAUUUAUUUAAAUUUUUUCUACCAUCACGUGAUAAGUGGGAUUGGCACUAGAUUUGGCACCGAAUAGUAGCAUAGAGGAUCCUAACUGGAAUAAAAAUCAGUCGCAUACCAGAGACAUAAGCAGCUUGAAGGGACGCGAGAGCGUUUCGGCAACCUCGUCUUGCGCUGCUCGGAAUGUUCCAUGGUACUAAGAUCUCACCCCCGAAGUCUGUUCAUUUUUUUUAGAACUAAUUUUCUUAAUCUGCUUUUAGGAAAGUACCUUAACCUUUUGAUUGAUCAGAACCUUCAUUUGUUUUUUAGAACUUGUUUAUUCUGUCAAAAAUUUGUCUUUCCUUACGGUUCUUAUGUUGUUUCUGUUGAUCUUGUUGUGUAUUUUCUUCUCGAUUUUUUCAUCUUUUUUAUUCCUCUAGAAACUUUUGUCGUGGGCUUCUUGCCUUGAUACAUCUUCCAAGGUAAUAGCCUUUGGCUUUCCUGAUCGUGUUCUUACUCGCAUACACAAUGUAGCUCAAUCUUUAUGUGGAAUCCGGCUAUUGAAUGUCUUCAUGCCUGCCCAUCAUCUUUUGAUGCUUUGUUUUGUGAUGUUUACUAUUAAUUAUUAGUUGAUAUUGAGAUGUUUAGCUUAUGAUUGUCUAGAAGUAGUUUGCUUUGAUUUCUGUGUGCAAAUUUGACACCUUUCCACAGAUUCUUCUUAUAUUCAUAUUAUUAGGGGACAAAUCAUCGAUCCUAAAUGUGAGGGAUUGCUGCUGAAGAAGCGAUCCUCUGAUCGAAGUGGUAGUUUUCUAAUCCUUCUUUGACCUGGAGAAAAACAUGGGUAAAUUCCAGCUUCUGACUGACUUUGCUGGAUUUUUUUGAGAAAUUUUUUGAUUAGUUGGUUUUGGCAUUGCAUGCAUAAAUGGCCAUAUACACUUUUGUCUUAAUCAAUUUUGUAUAGGACAUGAUGCUGCUGCUGCUAAUGGUGAUGGUAUUUCUAUUGCUUCUAAGCGCGGAGUUGAUGGGGGUUGUAAAGAUAGGAGUAAUUCAACACUACUAAAUUAUGAUGCUUAGUGUUCAUAUGGACAGCAGAAUGAGGAAGUCACUAGAAGGAACUGUGAAGAUGGUGACAAUUCAGGAAGCCCUUCAGCAUGUAUUGAUCCCCAGCAUGAGGUCAGUGGACAUUGUACACAUUCAAAGAGGAUGAGAUUGGCUGACAAUGAAGUUCACAUCGGUUCAAUCUGUCAGGUACCGGUGAAAAAAGCCUGAUUAAAUUUAAGUGGGGAUGGCCGUUCUGCAAGAAGGUGUAGCACUUUCAACUUUACAGAGAGACAUGCUGCAGGUUUGUCCUGCCACUGAAUUGAUUUCUCCAGAUUGUUACUGAGUGGCCUUUUUGCACUUCAGACAGAGAAUUGAAAUACACCAACUACACACACAUAUAACAAUAAUGAAUAUUUAAGUGAUACAUGAUGUAUGAAUCUAUGCUACUUGAGAAAUAUUGUGUUUAUUCUUUCCUCUUUGUUUGGAUGGCAUUUUUCUGAACUUUUUGUAGAAAAAUUACUGUAGCGAUUUGAUAUAUGUGGGGUAAAAAGGUGAUUGAAAAAUGUAUUCACAGAAAACGUAGCAAUUUUUCUUUGGAAAAUUGCAAUCCACCACUUCCAUCACUGAAUCUUGUAGCCAAGACUAAAAUGUAACAUUAUUUUUUCCUAUUCAUGAGAUCAACCAAUUUUUCAUAAUAAUUGGUCCAUAGAAAUCGCCCUGUACUGGACUCUUAGUUAGGGUUAUCACAUAGAUUGGCUGUUUGAUUUUUGUCAUACAAUUUAGACGUCCUUAUAAGGUGAUCUGACAUGUUCUGAAGAUCCAGUAAUCCUCUUUCUAUUCCUGUAUAAAGAAUUAUCUGAUCUGUUGUAGACUUGUGUUUGUGUUGCUUAGACAAACUAGACUGGUUUUCCUAUCACCUGCAAGUCCAGCUGUAAUUAGAUGUUUUUCUUUUUGUAUCUUGUUGGUUUUUUAUGACGUGGGAAUGCAAGUAUUGGUGACCUGCUAUUUGAUUUUUCUGUUACUUAUUUUGAUUCGGUGUAAAAAAAUCAAUUCUUUUACAUUGGUGUGACUUUUAAUUUCUUCAACAGAACAUGUCAGAUGACUAGAAAACUUGUGGAAUGUUCUAAAUAUGACAUUCUUAGAGAAAGUAACAAGCUAUUCCUUUGUUUUUUUAUUCAAGUCUUUGAAGUUCUUUUCUGGGAGUAAUCUUGACACAUUAUUCUCUAAUGCAUGUUAUGUGAUAUUGUGGCUGCAUAGGGUAGUUUCUAGUUGCAUCUGCCUGGUGCUCUUUACUGCACAUGUUUCUUCGUCUUUCGCUGUAUUUAUUGUUGGCUUAAUGGGCGUCAUUUUUAAUGUAAUAUACGUAAUAGAUACCAUAAGGCCAUUGCAAUCUUUUACUAUGCAUUAUUGCUUCCAUCUCAUGAGAUCAAUUUGUUAUCUCUAAGUGUAUUAUUCCUUUAUUAUCUUGCCUUUGAGGUUCCAUGAGCUGAAUUUCAUCUUGACUAGCAAUCAAUCAUCUGGGCAAAUUCAUCGUUUCCACAUUUUACCUUUUUUCUUGACCAAUCUUAGAUUGUGUUAAUGAUUACCUAUGUGUAGGUGAUGCUGUUGAUGGUAUUGCAUCUAACACUGGAGUUGGUGAUGGUUGUGAAAAUGGGAGCAAAUAUUUAAAACCAAAUUAUGAAGCGUGUUCACAUCCUCCAGGGAAGAAUAAGUAGCUCAAUGUUUUGGCAAGCAUCUCUGAAGAAGUUGGUGAUGACCGUACUACUACUGCAGGAAGCAGCUUAACUGCUGAGGUUAUUGAUCCUGCUCAAGACGCUGCUUUUUGGCAGCAUGAAUUUUCUGGCCUGUUUAGGUGUUCAAAAAAUAUGAGAUUGGCAGAUGACGACAUUGAAGUUGGCAUCCCUUCUGUUCCUCAAGUAUUGGAGCAAUCUGCUUCUGGUCUUUGUUCCAUACCCUUCUUCUAUCCUGGAAAGCUCAUGCUUUCUCCAUAUUGUUGCUAUUAAUUUGGCUACUUACUGCAGACAUAUAAUAUAAUAGUUAAAAUACACAAGUAGGGAAAAGCACGAACCCAUAGUCUUCUUCUUCUUCUUCCUUUUUGGUGGGGGUUAAGUUCUUUUUGAAAUAGUUAACACUAUGAGGUUAAUGAUCAAUUUUUGUGGUUUGGACAAGAAGAAAUAUACCUCCUAUUUUUGGUCUGACUUGUUAAUGAUCAAAUGCCAUAGGCAUAUCAGGAGAUAAUUUUGUAUACCAAAUGUGUUGCUUCAUGUCUCCUUCUAGGUUUAUAUUAGUUUCUUCUGUAGAUGUUUAUUUGAGACCUCUAGGGCACUUCUAGAAGCCUAGAGGAUUUGAGGCUAGUCUUUCUGGGUUCACAAGGAGGGUUUGCUUGAUUUGAUUAUCAAAUCGUGCAACAAGGUCCCAUAGAAGCCUAAAGAUUUCAUUAUUUGAAUAUUUGCGUAAUAUCAAGGUCUAGAAGUGGUGAUUACUGUAGAUCUCAGUAAGGGACUUUGAUAUUUCCUCUGCGUCUCUGAUUUUUAUUUAUUCAUGUGCAUUUUUCCUUAUCUAAUAGAACAUCCUUUUAUCUAUUCUUUUUGUGUUAUCUGGUUGUUGUUUCUUUUGGUUACUUAAUUGUAUUUGGUCUUUGGCCUAGUUAUCACGUGGCCUGCACUUUGCAUAUUGCCUUACUACCUUGUCUCUGUAGUGUAUUUUGAUUGGAUUAUUGUGCUACUUAUUUGUUUUUCUAGGCUAAAUCUUUUCUGAACUAGUUAGCUUACAAAAAUUAUUGAUUGACACAUGCCUGUCAACUUAUGAAUUGCUUAGAUCUUCCCGAAAGGUUGUACCUAAUGAGUGCUUGCUGGUAAACAACUUAAUAAUUUGGGGUUUCCUUUUUUUUUUUUGUUUUUGUUGGGAGGGGGGAGACAUAUUUCUUUCCAUUCAUAGAUUGACCAAUUUUUCCUAAUAAUUGGUCCAAACUUAUUGCACCAUAUUUAUCUUGUGGUAAAGAUUGCGUGAUAGAAGGCAUUUGAGACAAGUAGGUCUGGCAGUUUGGUUUCUUAUACCAUCUGGAUCCCUGAUGGGGUGGUUAUCUUGUUUCCAGCUUGGAAUUUACUUUAAGCCACAGAUAAAACGGUCUUCUGUUUGUAUCUGGUUGGUUUUGGUGAUGGCAGAAGAGCUAUCAAUUUGGUGACCCGUAGGAUAGGAUAAUUUUAUUUGUAUCUGCCUCUUCUUCCUUGCUGCACAUGUUUCAUCUCCUUUCUCUCUAAUUUAUUUAUUUUCUUUUUGCUUUUUCCCAUUUUGAUGAGUGUGACUUUGUAGGUUGAGUACGUAUCUACUCUAGGGCCAUUGUACGUUUCUUCUUUUUUUUUCUAUGUUUUUCUCUAAUGAUAUCAACUUGAUACAUCUACUUAAGUGUUUAUGUUUGGUAUAAAGUGAGAUUUAUUUUCAAGACACUAUCAGCAGAAGUUUUUGUUGAAACUACUGUCAAAAAGAAAAAAAUAAAAUUUCCAUUUUUUUAACCUUUGGGUAUUGUUUUACAUAGUAUUUAAUGUGUUAUAUUACUCUUGGCAUGACAAUAACCAAUCUAACUUUCUCAAUAUAAUGUAAUCCUUAUGUUUUAAAAUUUUAUGAAAUCCAGCUCAUGGUAAUGAAUCCGACAACAAGACAAGCAAUCACAACAUGUUCAAUCAGAUGUGCAGUCGUCAGAGUUCACUUAAGAUGAUGAAUGAAGUUGUGACCAGCAACUUUGAUGUUGGCAGUAGUUCAGGAACCUCAAAUUCAGUAAUAAACGGUUUACAUAACGGGGCAGCGUAGGUGGAUACUGGCUCUAUGGAUGAACAGAGUUCUCAUGUUCAAGAAACUAAAUUGGGUUAGUCUUUUUGUCCAGUUUGCCUAUCCUCCAUGAUUUGGUUAAUGGAUGGAAGCAUGUGGAUGGCUAGCUUUUUUUGAGUACUUAUGUUCUGGGGAGCUGAUUAGAAAUUUUUUUUUUUCUUUAAGGUGACUGUGCAAAUGAACAGCAGACUUUGAAGUCGCAAAACUUGGUGGAAGGCUCAGAUUAUCAAGGGUAUGGAAAUAGAGACAAUGCUACUAUCUUAGAGGUACCGAUGACCUCCACAAUUGUUUGUGAUUGUCUGUCUAACUUCUAAGAAGCUUGUGGCAGAAAAUAUUGAAUUAGGGGAAGGAGAUAUUCCAUCCAGCCUUUGAUUUCAGCUUUUUUCUCUUACUCAACUAGUCAUAUUGCUGUAAGGCUAUAAUAAUACUUGAAAAAAAAAAUUUAACUAUUUUUUCAAACAGGAUGUAUCGGAAGAUUCUUAUACUGUUAUACUUCCUGUUACUCCCAUAACCUAUGCCAUAGCUGAGCGAAAAGCUUUUCGGGCCAAGGCUCGUGGUGGCAAUUGUGAUCGCUCGUCGGAUGAGGUAAUGAAAUGCUAUUAAAUAUCAUUUGAAUUGUCGUGUUCUAUAAUUGAUAAGAGUAUAUUUUACGUAUUUUUAGUGUUCUUUAUUAGUUAGUUUUGGUGUGUUUUAUUUAAUUUUAUAAAUAAUUAACUAAGAUUCUAGUGAAAAUAUGCAUUUUGUGGUUUAAAGUAUGAAAAUUACAUUUCUAUGGAUUUUUAUGAUAAAAAUUUCAUAUUUUACAGGUUUAUUGAUUCAAUCAUCAAAUGGAGUGCAUUGAGAAUAUAAUUUGAUGAUUGAUGAUGGAUUAAAGUGAUAAAAAUAGAAUAUGAAGUGUGAAAGAAGAAAUGCAAUUAAAGUCAAAAGGAAGCAAGAUGUUCAGUUUUGACACAUUUUUGUAUUUUGGCUAUAUCUUGAGCUACAUACAUUGGAUUGAGAUGAUUCUUGAACCAUUUUUUAAGCUAAGAGACAGAUCUACAUUUGGUAUGAGACAUCAAAGUCCAAUUCAGCUGUUUUCCUGGUCAAAAUGUCAAAAUACAGAAGUAAAAAUCUGCUGCUGAGAGCUGAAAACGCCGAAUUGACCAGUCAGUGAUAUUUUUAUCAUAUCUUGGUCUUCAGAAUCCAAAUUGGAUGAUUCUUGAAGCAUUGGACAGCUAUUUCAAAGGACUACAAUUUCUAUGUUUUGCACAAGAGCCAAUUCAGCCAUCAUCAUAGAGAAAAUAGCAGUUGAAGUAGUCAGAUUUUGGUCAGAAAUAGCUGUUCUCCACUGGUAUAGCCUGUUUUUUCCUUCAAUAAUUCACAGCUAUGGAUGAACGUAUGACAACCAAUUAACAGCUGUAAAAAGGAUGUUUCAAGCCUCAUUUUUUGACUGCAUUCAUCUAUAUAUAACCAUGGACUUGCAAGAUUCAAUAUAACUUGGGAGAAGGCUAGAGAAACCCACCAGAAAUGUAGUUUUCACUAGAGUUUUCUUGGUUCAUUAGUAUAGUAUAGGUAGAGUAGUUUAUCCAUCUUAUAUUUGUAGUUAGAUUUGGAUGAAGAUUGGAGGAGUAAAGAUGAAGAGGUUGAUCUCAUGUGACAAGGGUGAUAUCUCUUCUACUAUUUUCUCUCUUGUAUUGGAUUUCAUGUUUAAUUAUAAUACAAGUUGGCUUUGUGUUUUUAUUAUGUUUAGUUAAAAUUUAUGUCUAGAGUUAUGGUUGAACUUGCUAUAUUUUGUUUGUAAUGUUUACUUGGCUACUUGGUGAUAUUAUUUUGAGCAAGUUAUUUAUCACUUUUGGUUAUCUAAUCAUGAUUAAUUGACCAUUAAUUAUGAUAAUCUUAAGGUGUUAAGUUUGCAAUAAAAAUUGAAAUUUAACAAUAGUUCAAAGAAGUGAUAAGCGUAGGGAAUACACUCACGAAAGUAGAGGUGCACCUAUAUGGCUUAAGUGACUUGUUUCAUGUAAUUUCGUAGAAGAAAUGAACUUGUAGUUAAUUUCAUAACCACGAGAGUAGGUAUGGCUUAAUUACAAGUAUAGUUGAUUCACUACGUAAGUAGGUUUCACAUACAUUAGGAAAUUACUCCAUAACUAGUUAAGAUAAUAGUAUUUAGUUAACCGGUAAUCUCAUUUGCAAGAGUAGUAAGGAAUUCCAUAUCUCUAAGAGUUUUUUAGUGUUAUUUUCAUAAAUUUUAUAUUUGUGGUAGUCUAAAUAAUAAAGGAGUUUGAAAAAAUCGGUAAUUGCAUUCUUCCUUGUGGGAUCGACCCUUAAUACCCUAUACUCGCUCACGAUUCGUAUACUUGCGAUAAAUCGCGUGUGGGGUAUUUAGAAAUUUAUAAAUGUAAAACUUGAUUGGGAUGAGUUUAAUAUUAUAUGUAUACCCCGCGCACGUCAAGUUUUUGGCGCCGUUGCCGGGGAAGAUUUGGCAAUAUCGGUGUGAAGAGCAAAUUUAUUAGUUUAAACAUUUCAUUAGUUAUAGUGUGAAUGUUAUUUUAUGUUAUUUUUGUGUUUUAUGUGUGUAUGUGUUUCAUUACCUAUUUUUCUUACUAAUUUUACUUUUGAGGUUGUUUAAAAGUAAUUUAAGGUGAUGAGAGGAGUAGGUCAAUUUGGAGGACAAUGCUUGAGAAAUGAAAGUUUGGCAAUGGAUGGUUACCAAGUGCAAAACUCCUUCAACAGAGGUAACCAAGAAUUUACUGAAUGUAUGUCUUUUGAAGAUGGUUUAAGGUGCUUAAAGACUAAAUUUGAUGUUAUGAUGUUACAAGUUCAAAUGGAUACAAUUAUGCAUGAAAUUGAGCAAGGGAGGAAGGUUAAUACUUUUAAUUCUUAUCAUGGGAUUUGUGACUUGUGUGGAGGUUAUCAUGCUUCCAAUACAUGUAGACAGGUACAAAAUGUGGAUUAUUAUGAUGAAUUAGAGCAUUACAAUCCUUGUUUUGAUCGAUAUAAUGCUAAUUGGAGCAAUUCUCCUGCUUAUGGUUGGGAUGAUCAAUGUACUUAUAGUGAUUAUUCAUAUUUUUAUGAUUACCAACCUGCAAGUGUCCAAUAUGAAUCAAAACCAUCUUGGGAGUUGGCAAUAGAGAAGUUAGCUAAUACACCUCUACCUUGGGAGUUAGAAAGUGAAACAUUAGCUAAUGAUUCUAAUGCAUCUUGGGAGCUAGUUGUAGAAAAUUUUUCUAAUCAAUUUGAUUCAGCAAUAGAAAAGCUAGCAAAUGUAACUUUCGACCGUUUUGAUAAGAUUGAGGAAAGAAUAGAUGAAUUAACUUCUCAAUUUGGUAGAAUACAUGAGCAAUUGAGUGCAUUGAGUGAAUUUAUUUCCUCUAAUAAUGUGCAAAAUGACCCUAUUAUGAAUGGUGGGAAUGUUGUAAGUGAAAAUGGAUUAUAUUUUGAUCAAAAUUAUGAAUCCAAUUUGUGUUUCAAUGAGGAAAUGUCCAUUUCACAAGAUAGUACUUUUGGAGCUAAUAUUGAAUCUCAAGAGGUGAGCCUUAACGAUUCAUUUUUCACCCCUCUUGAGGAAUGUGUUGAUUGUAUAGGUUCUAAAGGUAUUAUAGCCCAAGAAAGCUAUGUAGAUGUUCCUUUGGUGAGUACUCAAGUGGUGCAUAUUCAAUGUAAUAUUUAUGACUCACUCGAGAUAGGUAAGCUUCUUCCACCUCUCAUAUCAUUUGAACAUGUGGCUUUUGCUAUUAAGCCAUCUUUUAAUGAUCCACCACGACCAAAAUUGGUGGAUUAUUCAUUAACAAAGCCUCCUUGAGAAAUGAGGUGCAAAAGUUGAGCCAACGACUAUAAACAAAAGCGCUUAUUGGGAGACAACCCAAUGUUUUAGCUAUUUAUGCUAUUUUGGGGUGAUUUUAUGUUUAAAGUAUGAGUUUGAGUUAUUUUGUUAUUUUUUAUUUGCAGGUAUCGGAAAUGGAAGCAAAAGUGACCAAAUGAGAUUAAUAUUACUAAUGGUUAUCAAAUGGAACUCAUGAAGCAUGGGAGGAAAAUGGACAAUGUAUCUUGAAGCUUCAUAUUCAAUUACAACAAUAGGGGAGUAUUAUUUUCUUUAUCUUGAUUUUUCUUUUUACACAUUGAGGACAAUGUGCAUGUUAAGUGUGGGGGGAAGAAUUGAGAUUAUAUACAUUGUAUGUGAUUGACUUGUUGGUUGCAAAUAUUGGACUUGUGUUUAAAUUCAAAAUUUUUUCAAAAUCUUGUCCAAAUUUACGAAUUUGCCCCAAAAAGUUUCAAUUUUUUUAAUUUUAUCCAAAGGGCUUACAAGUUUCAUACCAUUAGUAGUUCAAAUUCCUUCUACGUUUGAGAUAAAUAUAUGUGAUUUGGAAACUUCUUUUCUCAUUUAAUUUGGAAAUGACUAUUAUGUGAUUAUAAUUUGUGUACUUAUAGGAAAAUAUAUCUUGUAAAGUGGAGAAAAUUAUGCCUAUUUUUUUUGCAUAUUUAUUGACAUUUCUUCUCUUUAUUGGAUUUUAUAAGUUAAGUGAUAAAUAUGGUUAAUAAGUGCAAUACUCUUCUCAUGAUUAUUCUUUUGAGAAAAUUAUUAUUAUGUUUGCUAUUAAAAAAAAGAAAAAAAGAAAAAAAGAUUUGUUCUACUCCAAUUAUUCUUGUACUUAGUAACCGGGAGUUUUCAUCUACAAAAGUCGACUUUCGCGUAAAACGGUAUUCGAAUUAAGAGUAUGCAAAGCAAUUUGAGUAUGUGAAGUGUUGAGUAACCGGUGAUUUUCAUCUAAAAAUGUCGAUCCUCGCGUCAAAAGACACUUUCACAACUUAAGUAAUAUUUAACUAUACUAUAUGAAUAAAUCCCUCUUUAAAUUGGAAUAAGAAGAUGAUCAUGAGUUUAGGAAGCAUUUUAUUGACCAUAUGAGUUACUUACUUGUAAGAUUGAGUAAGGAUGAAAAAUUGAUUUGAAUUUGUUAUAAUGACGGUAUAAUUGGCUCUCCUUUACUUGAUAUUAUGAGUACUUGAGAUUAAUUGAAUAAUUGCAUAAUGGUUGUUUAUCUUGUUUUUGAGAAAAUAAAGUGAAAUGGUGCACAUAUGUUUAUUUUCAAAAAUUGAAUCAUUGUUGGUUUGUAUUUUUUAUUGCUUGAGGACAAGCAAUGGUUCAAGUGUGGGGGUAUUCGAUAAGAGUAUAUUUUACGUAUUUUUAGUGUGCUUUAUUAGUUAGUUUUGGUGUGUUUACUUAAUUUUAUAAAUAAUUAACUAAGAUUCUAGUGAAAAUAUGCAUUUUGUGGUUUAAAGUAUGAAAAUUGCAUUUCUAUGAAUUUUUAUGAUAAAAAUUUCAUAUUUUAAAGGUUUAUUGAUUCAAUCAUCAAAUGGAGUGCAUGGAGAAUAAUUUGAUGAUUGAUGAUGGAUUAAAGUGAUAAAAAUAGAAUAUGAAGUGUGAAAGAAGAAAUGCAAUUAAAGUCAAAAGGAAGCAAGAUAUUCAGCUUUGACACAUUUUUAUAUUUUGGCUAUAUCUUGAGUUAAAUACAUUAGAUUGAGAUGAUUCUUGAACCAUUUUUGAAGCUAAGAGACAGAUCUACAUUUUGUAUGAAGACAUCAAAGUCCAAUUCAGCUGUUUUCCUGGUCAAAAUGUCGAAAUACAGAAGUAAAAGUCUGCUGCUGAGAGCUGAAAACGUGGAAUUGACCAGUCAGUGAUAUUUUUAUCAUAUCUUGGUCUUCAGAACUCCAAAUUGGAUGAUUCUUGAAGCAUUGGACAGCUAUUUCAAAGGACUACAACUUCUAUGUUUUGCACAAGAGCCAAUUCAGCCAUCAUCAUAGAGAAAAUAGCAGUUGAAGUAGUCAGAUUUUGGUCAGAAAUAGCUGCUCUCCACUGGUAUAGCCUGUUUUUUCCUUCAAUAAUUCACAGCUAUGGAUGAACGAAUGACAACCAAUUAACAGCUGUAAAAAGGAUGUUUCAAGCCUCAUUUUUUGACUGCAUUCAUCUAUAUAUAACCAUGGACUUGCAAGAUUCAAUGUAACUUGGGAGAAGGCUAGAGAAACUCACCAGAAAUGUAGUUUUCACUAGAGUUUUCUUGGUUCAUUAGUAUAGUAUAGGUAGAGUAGUUUAUCCAUCUUAUAUUUGUAGUUAGAUUUGGAUGAAGAUUGGAGGAGUAAAGAUAAAGAGGUUGAUCUCAUGUGACAAGGGUGAUAUCUCUUAUACUAUUUUCUCUCUUGUAUUGGAUUUCAUGUUUAAUUAUAAUACAAGUUGGCUUUGUGUUUUUAUUAUGUUUAGUUAAAAUUUAUGUCUAGAGUUAUGGUUGAACUUGCUAUAUUUUGUUUGUGAUGUUUACUUGGCUACUUGGUGAUAUUAUUUUGAGCAAGUUAUUUAUCACUUUUGGUUAUCUAAUCAUGAUUAAUUGGCCAUUAAUUAUGAUAAUCUUAAGGUGUUAAGUUUGCAAUGAAAAUUGAAAUUUAACACUAGUUCAAAGAAGUGAUAAGCGUAGGGAAUACACUCACAAAAGUAGAGGUGCACCUAUGUGGCUUAAAUGACUUGUUUCAUGUAAUUUCGUAGAAAAAAUGAACUUGUAGUUAAUUUCAUAACCACGAGAGUAGGUAUGGCUUAAUUACAAAUAUAGUUGAUUCACUACGAAAGUAGAUUUCACAUACAUUAGGAAAUUACUCCAUAACUAGUCAAGAUAAUAGCAUUCACUUAACCGGUAAUCUCAUUUGCAAGAGUAGUAAGGAAUUCCAUAUCUCUAGGAGUUUUCUAGUGUUAUUUUCAUAAAUUUUAUAUUUGUGGUAGUCUUAAUAAUAAAGGAGUUUGAAAAAAUCGGUAAUUGCAUUCUUUCCUAUGGGAUCGACCCUUAGUACCCUAUACUCGCUCACGAUUCGUAUACUUGCGAUAAAUCGCGUGUGGGGUAUUUAGGAAUUUAUAAAUGUAAAACUUGAUUGGGAUGAGCUUAAUAUUAUAUGUAUACCCCGCGCAGGUCAAUAAUUGCUAGUGAGGUUUGCAAAGACAAAUACAAUUAGUCUAAUGGGCAGUGUGACAGGGAACAAUGAUGAGUGCAAUGGAGCGGUGGGAGAUUGAGAUAGAAAGAGCAGCUCUGUCGAAGGAAACUAUUAUGAAGCGAUUUGUUACCCGGAAUUAUGUUCCACCAUCUGCAGCUAUUGAUAACCUGGAGCCAUCGUCCGGCUUGGAUUACAGUGAACAAAUUUGCGGUAUCUGCAUGGUGUGUAACUAAUUUAUCCGACAGCCUUUAACAUCUGCUACUUUUGAUUGCAUAUUAUCUAAUUCGGUCAUAUUUGGAAACCUGGCAGGCUAGGUAUGAGAACCAAGACGAGAUUGGGGUUCUCUAUUAUUGCCCCCACGAGUUUCAUGCAGACUGCUUGAAAGCAUGGCUUCGGAGGCAAAAUACUUGCCCUAUUUGUAGAGGCUUAGCUUUAGUACUAGCACAUAUUCCAUAUUGGAAUCAAAAUGUGGACGUUCACCGAGCAUUUUUCCUGCCUCCAGCUAAAGCUGUUAAGCUUUUCCCAUUUUUUAAAAACUUCGUGAAAUAAUAGGUUAAGUGAAUGCUAAUUUACUAGUACCAUCUACUAUCCUUUUUUUAUUAGUAGUAUUUUUUGUAAGCUCAUUGGGAAGAAAGAUGAUAGAAUUGGCUCCAAUUAUAUUAGUAUUAUUAUUUUUGUAACUUGCUGACUUUCGAGUUUUAAGUGUGUCAAAAGAGUUAUGAUUGAGUUAGGUCUCAAGGAUGGCCUUUGUUACAUUUGAUGGUGUGUUUGCGCUGAAAUUACAGACUUGAAAUUACAUACUUGGAGAUGUAUGCAAUACUUAGUCAAAUUUAAUUUAUGUUAUCCUACUGUCACAUUCAGCUUUAUUACCUAAAAAUAAUGAUCACAUAUUUCCAUGCCUAAUAAAGGUAUUUUGGUUAUGUAUGUACAUUCCAAUUCGUUAUUGCAAAUAGGCAUCCUUUUGUUUCAUAAUACGGAGUUAACAUUCCUUCGCAAAAGAAAAUAAAUAAAUAAAACUAAGCAAUGAACGUACUUUUCGCUCUAUGGUACAACAUAUAACUUUUUCAUUCCAGGGCUUUUGAAAUUAUGACAAAAUACAACUUUUACUUGUAAAUGCUCCCUCCCUUUGUGGUAAAAUAUGAUACCUUACCACAAAGGGAGUAAAUAAAAUAGUAAGUGUAUUAAACAUCCAAUCAGUGGUAUGCCCAUUCCGCUUCCGCCUAUGUUGAUGUUGCCAAACCACCAAAAUAAUAUGUGCCUGAGAAGACUUUGAGGCAAGAAGUGAUUGCACCUAGUUUGGCCUUGCCAUCGCUCAAGACGUCACAAGUAGAUGCUGAUUCAUUUUCCUGUCUCUGUACUGUAGGCCAAAAGCAUUAUAUGUUUCCUCUUUAUCCACAGAAUCUAUUGGAGUCCUAAAAUUAUUAUUUGAUGUUUAUGUCUCUGAUUUUUGUUGAACAUCAUCAAUCUCAAACAGGGCCCAACUGUGCAAGUAAAUCAUUGUUUUUCUUCUACUUGGAUCCUCUUGCUCGCCAAACAAGGACGGGAAAAAGUUCUUCCAUUCACUGUGAUGAGCUGUAUCUAGAAAGACCCUUCAAGGGCUCUCUAUAUUUCGUAACAGGGGAGACGAUUGAUUUUCAAACCUUUUUCAUGUUCAAGUAAUUUAAAGCACCAUCAAAAAGUUAGCCAUGAUUGAUAAUCUAAGGUUUUUUUGGUAAAUCAGGUCUGAGAAAGCUUGUAGUCAUAGUCCAUAUAUUACUUCUUUUGCUGCAAGAUCUUGCAAUCGGAGCUAACGAAGUCUUGCACCUAAGGGGAACAUAUUUUGUUGGAGCAAAAUCUUAUGACGCAAAUUCAAAACAGGUUUUGAGGAUCAACUAUCCAUGUUACAGACGCAGGCACUUCUGUCACCAUAGAAGCUUGCAGCCACGGUAAUUAUAAGGUUAUCAUCAUUCUUAGGUCAAAUAUGCAUGAUCUUCAAUGGCUAAACUUCACAUUACAUUAUGAACGUUUCCGCAAUUAAUUCGUACUGCGUCUCAAGUAAGAUGAGGGUUCAAGUCCACUCUUAUGUACCAAAUUAAGAAGACUAGGAGUGCAUUAUUCUGCUAAAACAAAGUGUACAAUGUACAAUUAGUUAGGAUGAUGCACAAAGAAAGACUCGUACACAAGUCUGUUUCAACUCUAUUUUUCUCUUUAAAGGAAAAGCUAAUUACCCAGAGUAAGCCUCAAAAACAUCUAACUUUGAGCAAGUCGCAGACCAAAAGGCAGAAAAACUGCAGCUGAUACAACUAUUACAGUUAGGGUAUCAGGCCAAUUAUUUGAAAAGAAAAAGACCAACAAUUUAAUAGAAAAUAAUAUCUAGCAUGAACGAUGAGUAACACACAAGAAUUAACGUGGUUCGGUUUAAUCACCAAACCUAUGUCUACGAAGAGAAAAACUUGUUCUUAUUAUGAGAGAAAAACAGUACAAGAUUACAACUUGAUUCCCAAGCCCCAAUUCUUGUAUAACCCUCUCACCCAUUAAGAACUCUCUCACUCCUUUCUUGUGUAUUUUUGUAGUAUGCCAAUCUACCUAUUUAUAGAGAACAUUACUUGGCCAAAAAAUCAAAUAACAAUUGAAAUCCAAUACUAAUUCCUAGACUUAUACAGAAUAGGAAAUAACAUCUAAAUCCUAAAUCAAAUAGAAGUUUCGUUGACUACUACUUCAAAUAACUAAAUCCAAUCAGGAAACUAGAUACUUCCCACACUAAAUAGGGAUCUUGACUAAAAGAAAUUAAGCCAAUUUUCUAAUAAAUCUCCACAUUGGCGAAUAUUUCUUUUAGCAAACACAGCAAACCAUCCAAAAAACUCCAUUUGCCUUUUUUCACUAAAUACCUUGGUGCCUAACUAGGCACCGGAAUCAAGAUGGUUUUGUUUUCAAUUAAUUCAAUCGGCAAAUGAACGUGUGUAGCUAACCGAGUCCAACAUCUAGUUGACUCGCGAGAGGGGUCUCAAUUCACCCUCUUCCAUAACAGAACUUUUCCUCUCACUACCAUUUGUAAUUUGAGAGCAUUCCUGGAUCCUCUUCCACUUCCAAUCCAUUGUGGUAUUUAAAUGGUACAAAUUACCAUACUUUUUUCCCAUCAACAAGACCGUCUUGCCAUGUAUGAUUUUCAAGACUCCACCUGCAGCGGAAAAAUGGUAACCCUCGGAGUCUAUCUGACUCAAAGAAAUUAGAUUCCCUCGUAACUUUGAGACAUAAGCCACACCGCCCAAAGAAUGAAUCUCUUCAUUCAACAUUUUAAUUUUCACCACUCCAACACCUUUAACUUGACAAGUAGAUCCAUCACCCAAUGACAUAAAAUUUGACUUCUUUCUUUAGAGAGUGUCAAAAUAGUCUAAUCUGGAGCAAACAUGUGAAACACAUCCAGAAUCUAAAAUCCAACCAUCACGAGAAGAAGUAUUAUUACCUUUGGAGCUUGUGAGAAUAUCACCACUCGAUACAUAUCCAGCAACACCACUCGAUACAUAUCCAGCAACACCAUCAUAGUCAUUCUCAUCAUUUUUCUUUUGAUGAGGGCAAUAUCUUUUGAUAUGGUCAAACUCAUGACAACCAAAACACUGGACUCCACCCUUUCUUUUGGCCUUUGAACCGCCUGUCUUAGAUUCACCGUCAAGUUAUUUUUCUCUUUUAUUCUCACCUCGAGCAAUUAACGCAGCUUCUUGUGUCACAUCCUGGUUUACCUUCCUUUAUUUUUCAUGAUCCAACAAAGAAAACUACACAUUCUCGAACUCUAAAGUGUUCUUCCUAUACAACAGGGUCGUCACAACACUUUCGUAAGAAUCAGAGACUGAGGUAAGAAGUAAAAGAGCCUUAUCUUCUUCCUCAAUAUCCACGCUAACCUUUUGGAGUUGAUCCAAAAUUUCAUUAAACGUAUUUAUGUGAUCCAUGAGACUGCCACCCACCUCCAUCUUUAGUGCAUAAAGUUGCCGCUUUAGAUGCAACUUAUUGGAUAAGUUUUUAGCCAGAUAAAUUUUUUUCAAUUUUUUCCAAAGGUCUGCUGCAGAAUCUUUCUCAUCUAUCAGAUUAUUUGUGAUGUUGUCCGCCACAUAGAGUCGAAUCAUGCUCGCACACCUUGCGUCCAACUCCUCAAACUCAUCAUCCUUCAUGCUCUCUAGCUUCUUGUUCUUUCCAUUCAACGCUUUUGCCAAACCUUAUUUAACUAGAACAUCCUUCACUCUUCUUUGCCAAAGAGUGAAAUUUGUAAUUCCAUUAAACGGUUAAAUUAAAAACUGUAUAGUUCCAAAUCCCAUGGUAUACCACUACCCACUCAAUUUCAAAUAAUUAACUAAAAUUUCAACGGAGCUCUAAUACCACUUGUUAGGGUAUCAGACCAAUUAUUUGAAAAGGAAAAAAAUAACAAUUUAAUAGAAAAUAAUAUCUAGUAUGAACGAUGAGCAAUGCAUAAGAAUUAACGUGGUUCGGCUUAAUAACCAAGCCUACGUCCACGAAGAAAAAAUUUGUUCUUACUAUGAGAGAAAAAUAUCACAAAAUUAUAACUUGAUUUCCAAAUCCCAACUCUUAUAUAACCUUCUCACCUACUAAGAACUCUCUCACUCCUUUCUUGUGUAUCUUUGUAGUAUGCCAAUCUACCUAUUUAUAGAGAACAUUACUUAGUCAAAAAAUCAAAUAAUAAUUGGAACCCAAUACUAAUUUCUAGACUUAUACAGAAUAGAAAAUAACAUCUAAAUCCUAAAUCAAAUAGAAGUUUCGUUGACUACUAUUUCAAGUAACUAAAUUCAAUCAGGAAACUAGUUACUUUCCACACCAAAUAGGGAUCUUGACUAAAAGAAAUUAAGCCAAUUUCCUAACAAUUAUAAUUUUCUGUACCUUAAGGAGUAUUAAGCAGUCACCAUUUCCAGAUUCUGUCCAGCUAAUUAGCCUUCCUGCCUUUUCCUGCAAAGUGGAUGGGAAAAUGCUAUCAAGCUCUGUACUUCUCUAACUAGUAAUUGUAAGGAUCGAAAUCAACCAAUCGAAAAGUCAAUCGAUAAGCAAUUAAAAGAUCGCAAUAUAACAAUAAGUAAAUAAAAGGGAAAGAAUUGCAAACCAAUUAACUACCCAGCUCCUCUUGAGCUUGUAGAUUAAUUCAAAUAAGCUUCCUCAAAUUGAUGAAUUACAAUCACUCUUGCGUACAAAGGAAGGUUCACCUCCUCCUUGCCCCGAACACCACUCGGUCAAGUCAGGACGUUUUGCUAUCCCUCAGGACAACCCUCACAGAGCUACACUCAUGAAAGAUUCACUCACAAAUGAAAAGCUUACAAUGAACCUCACACCACUAAGACUACAAAUCUUUUUUGAUGAGUAUUUUUUCACUAAAAUCACUCUAGAUCCUUUGUAUCUUCAGUGUACAAAAGUUGUUUGAAGUAUCUGACCAACCACUAUUUAUAUAAGAUCAAGAAAGUGUCUCAUUAGUGCUUCCAACGGAUAGAAAGUAGCUGAAGAGUCAACUAGCCGUUGGAGUGUCGGACGUCCGAUAGCCCUGUUUUAUGCGUCCGACAGCAGGCAGUGAGUUUAAGAGAUUUUCUUCAAUUCUUUCGGACGUCCGAUGCAAGCUUUUUGUGCGUCCGACAGCAAACAAAGAGAUUUGAGAAAUUAUCUUGUUUCUAUCGGACGUCCGGUAAAAACAUAUUCAGCGUCCGAUAGAUUCGUCGACUUCGAAGGAUCCUAUUGGACGUCCGAAGCAUUCGUCCGAAGUUGUGCAAUGAUUAUCGGACGUCCGGUACUGUCUUCUUGAGCGUCCGACAGGUUCAACAUACUCUGUCUUUUUCAAAUGUGCUUAAUCUUUGAAUCUGAUUUGUUUCAUUUCUGAAAAAGCCUUUGAGGAGAUGUUAGCAACAUCCAUUUGUUUUGUAAUCAUCAAAAGUUAGAAACCAAGGUCAACAGUAACAAAUUUUAAUACCACAAGACACAGCGGGAGAAAGUUCUGAUAGGAUGGUUAAAACCAUACAAACUGCAUUAUGGAACCAAAUUACCAAUGACAGUACAGAGUACUUUACCUCAGCUCGAGACAUCACUAGGACAUAAAGAAAUACUAUAGGAAACUCACAUGAAGCACUGGAAACCUUUCAUCUUUUUCAAUAUUCUAGACAAAGUCCAGCAUAUGCCAAUAUUCUUGAUUCAACUAAAUGUCGAAUCUUUUUCAAUGUGUAUUUGAUACAACAAAGAAAUAAUACAAAAACAACAUUCAAUGCCAAUUUCAUCAAGAAAUUCUUUAAAAAAAACUCUAACAAAAAUCAGAAACAAAAACUUCUAAGCGUUAUAUUCAAUGCCAUCAACUUGCAUAACAUAGCGUAUACUAAUAGAGAUUGCUUACAUACCAUUGGAAUAGACAAUAUUCAUACCAGCAAAUGUUCAUCACCAUGUCAUCCACUUACACUAAAUUUACUACUAAAAAGCAUAAUAUGCAAUAGUCCGUCAAAAGUUUAAGCAUCAGGGAACCAUCAAAACAUACGCAACAGUCCAGCAAAUGCUCAUCACCAUGUCAUCCACUUAUACUAAAUUUACUACUAAAGAGAAUAAUACGGAAUAGUCCAUCAAAACUUUAAGCAUCAAGGAAGGAAGAUGGGUGGGUUGUGGAAGGGACAUCAGCUUUCGACUGGGAAUCAGGAGAUUCAAUAUAACCAUCAACCCCAAUGUCACCACUGUUGGGGGUGAGAAGUCUCAAACUCCCAUUCCAGCCCAACAUUAGCAAAACUGGGAAGAGGUAUGAUAUCAAGAAGGAUAGGGGCCAAGCUCACCCCAUGGAGCAUCAGCAAAAGAAAUUUUGUCCACAAUGUCUAACCACCUGUGUAGGAGAAAUUCAAUCCAUGUGACUCAGUCUAUUGCACGUGCCCCUUAAAAUCAUCAGCGAUAGUUGAUACAUCCAUAGCCUUCAAGUAUUCAUAGACCAGCUGGUUAUGCAAUUUGAUCUUCAAAGUCGACUCCCAGUCCCUGCAAUAGAACAAAAAAAAUUAAAUAAAUAGUAUAAUAUUGAAAAAUAAAUAAAUAAAUAGUACGACGUACUCAUCAAGGUCGGGUGGCAGUGGGCUUGGCCCAAUUUCAGCUCUACUGAGUUUAAUCGGGCUUGCCUUAGCGGCGACAGUCAACCUUAGAUUCCAAUAGUCAGCCACAGGAUGUCCAGCAAUCCUUUCAUGGCCUGGAAAGGCUUCUCCACCAACAAAAUCCUUCAACAAUUGGGCUUGAUCCCUGAGACCUAACUCAAUCAGGUAGUCAUGGACAAAUUGGCUUAAUGCCUUCAAUUUGGCCCGAGUCGUGGAAGAUUUUGAUCCUGCCACUCAAAGCAAUAAUAGUUACCAGUUGAAUGAUACUAGAAUUCGGCAAUUAAUGACAAUUACAUAAAGCCAAAAAAAAAGCGUAGUAGUCUCCCUUCUAAUGAUUUAAUGAAUACAGUGAUGCUUUCCAUCGCUAGUAUUGAUAGUACUAUAAUUUCAUGCAUUAGAUAAAUCCGAACUUGGUGCAUCAAAGUCCAUCAAUUGAAGGAAGUAAUUGCUAAUUUGCAGUAAAACAAAAUCCAUCAUAAAUUUUGGAGCGACAAGUAAAAUAGAAGCAUAAGUUUGCUAAAUCUCCAAUAAAAGAAGCACAAAUGCAAGGGAAUAAUUAUUCCGAUAUUUUUGAAACGAAUAGAACUCAAUCAAAUUCAUUAAAAUAGAGUUUACACAUCACUUUAGGCAUCAAUCCAAGCACCAUACGUAUAACAGUUCGAUUCAUUUCAUCGUCACUAACGUUUAGUCAGCAACGGAGACGAUUGAAACACUCACUGGACAGGAAUGGAAUAUUAUGCUGAGAAAGAUACAAGUAAAUCAAUAGAGUACAAAUUUGCUAAAAUCUCCAACAAAAAUGUACAAAUGCAAGGGAAUAAUGAUUCCGAUAUCAUUGAACCAAAUAGAACAGAAUAAAUUUCACUCAAAUAGAGUUUAUAAACUUGAAGUUGUCAACAAUAUUAUGUCGAAACAGAGACAAGUAAAUCAAAAGAGUACAAGUUCGCUAAAAUCUCUGACAAAAAAUUACAAAUGCAAGGGAAUAAUGAUUCUGAUAUCACUGAAACCAAAUAGAAUUGAAUAAAUUUCACUGAAAUAGAGUUUAUACAGCUGAAGUUAUCAAUAAAUUUCACUGGAAUGGAGAUUAUAAACCUAAAGUUGUCUCUUCCAUUUUGGCAACGAGGUAGUAUGGGCUCUGUAGUUUCGUGAUCUUCUUUCCUCUCAAACAACCAUCUCAAUUUGAAUUUACUCGAGGGUAUUUAUAGGACCAGCUGCACUCUUUAAUUUUUUUUUUUUAAGAAUUACAAACUUUUGGUCCAUGAUGUUUAGCUCAAUUGUCAAAGUAGUAUUUCAUAUUUUGAUCCAAACAAAUGCAAUCACUAAAAUUUGUGGUUUUAGGAGGAGUUAGGAUAAUCGAAAGAAAUCCAAUCCAAUAAUACCUAACUGUAAAAACAAAAUUAAAUUGCUAUUACAAUGUAUUACAAAUUGUGUUAAUACAAAAUAUAAAACAAAAACUAAUCAAAAUUCUUUUUUCUCCUUUUUUAAAAUUUUUAUUUAUUCUUGCUACGAUUCUCAUAUAUUUCUUUUCAUUUGGCUUUUUCUUUUUUUCUUUGGAUAGUUGGUCUCAAAUUUGGCAUACACAUUUCUUAACUUAAAUUGUGAAUAAUUAACUAAUGAGUUCUAUCAUUUUUUCCCCUUAAAAUUGCUCCUUUGGAAUGUAAGCAAUAUAUCUCAUAUGGUGAUUAAAUUGAUCAUCUAAUAUUUGUUUUUGUUUUUGUUUUGUUAUUGUAUCUUCAUUUAAAUAGGCUAUCAAAUAAGUUUCAAUGAAGAAAUUAAUUUUUAGUUUAUAUUAAUUUUUAUUGAAUUUAUCAAUAUACACAAACGUUAAAAAUAAACACUUAAAAAUUUUAUUGUUGAAACAAUAGAAUUUUCUACAAGCGAUCUCAUUACGCUACAUCCAAAUUAAUAACAACGACAGAUGCUUCAGUUCUUUUAGAACAAUAGAAUUUUCUACAAGCGAUCUCAUUACGCUACAUCUAAAUUAAUAACAACGACAGAUGCUUCAGUUCUUUUAGAACAAUAGAAUUUUCUACAAGCGAUCUCAUUAUGCUACAUCUAAAUUAAUAACAACGACAGAUGCUUCUUUUAGAAGAAUUUUCUAGUGGCUUCGCUAGAGAGCAAUCAAAUUGGUUCAAAUAUUUAUACUAUAUAUAAAGCUUGAGGAAGGUGUUUGGGGUUAAACAAUGAGGGUUAAUAUUUAUCGUCACUUUAUGAACUUCUUUUUUUUUUUACCCUUAUAAAAACUACUUUUAUUUUAACUAUCUAUAACUACAUAUGACUAUUUUUGCUUUUAAUUAUUUGAAUAUAUGUUUUCAACAUAACUACCCCUAAACAUUAUGACUACCAAUAUAAAAUUAUUUUAUGAAAAAUAUUUGAAAGAUUAGAGUUUGCUUAAGUAAUAAAAAUUUUAUUUAAAUAUAUAACCAUAAAUAUUAUGUAUUUUUUGAUUGCACACACAUUGGGUGUGCAUUGAGCACUAGUCAAAAUAAAACAACAGACUUGGUUAAGGAAAGAGAUAAAAGGUGCUAAAAGCAUUGUAUCAAAAAGUUGAACAGCCAAAUGAAUAAUUAAGAAAAUCUCUCACAAAUGGAAUCAUUUCAAAUAUCGACAAUGUUGUCUGGCAUCCUUAAAGUUUCAAUAUUGUUUCUAUACACCUACUUUAAUUUGUAGCAAAACAUUUGCUUCCAUAUGGAUUCCAUUUGCAAGUAUUCCAAGACAAGGUUGCAAUUCACAAGAGAUUUAACAUAUUGAUCUAGUGAUCAAUUAUACAAUUUGAUUGUAUGGUCCAAUAGCCAACAGAUUUUGGUCCAUGGAGAUACUUCUCCAGCAGCUUGGCCUCCUCCAACAGUCCUAGAGCACAUAGAUAACUAUGAGCAUAUUAGCUUAAAGACUCAAUCCUUGGCAAUGUAGCUACUGGUACCCGCUAAAGUGGAAAGGUUAUUUGAUCAGUCUUCAUUAUUUUUACAUGAUUCUACUGGUUAAUCAUGAGGCAGAUAAGAUUGAGGUUCUGCUAGAGAAAAUCACUAGUAACCGGAUAAAAUCAUAAGGCAGAUAAGACCGAAAGCGGUUGUUAAAGUAGAUUACAAUCCACCAUGGCCACAAUGCACUUAAUUCAGCUCAAUCGUUAUAAUUAAUAUAUCACAAUCCUAUGCAAACACAAUGAGCAGUAAUGCAGUGGAUUCAGAUCUUUCUGCCAGUCAUGCUCAUUUACUCUCCCCUUGUACUGCCAGGGGUAUAAAAUCACAAGAUCACAAGAGAAUUAGACAAAAAAAAAAAUUUAUUCAACAAUCAAUAUUAGAAAAAAUCUUUUUUAUUUAUCAAUCAAAUUACUCUAAAUUAUCAAUAAGCUAGACGUGGAGGAUUACUUUGAGUUGGAUUAUCUGCAGCUGCAGCUGAAUCAGAAUGAUGUUUUCUCGUCUCCGUCCCUUGGUUGCCAUCUGGUCCUGGAUUCUCUAUCUCUGCUUCUCCCAGUCACUCCCCAGGCAAUUUCCUAAAGCCUUAAUUUUAAAUUUUCAAAUCCUCCCGCUAUAUAUAUAUAUAUAUAUAUCUAUAUAGAUGAAAAUAUGGGGCCUGCCUUUCUAGCGACUUCCAAAUUCGCUCACGCUCGCUCGAGUCCUCAGCGAAUUUUGGGUUGUAGGCCUACAGCCUAGCGAAUUUUGGGUUGUAGGCCUACAGCCUUUGGGAUGGAGUACUGACUGAACCGGUUGCAGAAAGGAAGAAAAAGACAAACACAGCCCCACCGUUCCACCAAUUUGUAUAUAUUUUUUUUGUUCUUUUUUCAGUUUUUUCAGUCAAUUCAAGUGAAAAGUAAAAUCAAGGGACCGGUUACUGGGAUAUAUGAGAUAUGCAUGGAUUACUUGCCCCUUGUGCCGAUUAAAUACCUCAUCACCAAAAUGAAAAUGCAAUUCAAAAUCAAAUAUGAUAUAUUGACAUGAGCCUAAUUGAUUCGUUUAAAAUUUCCGAAGAGUGCUUUAAUCUCAUAGAUACGCCUAGUCUACAUUUGUGCCAUUGAAUUGAAGCAAGUGAGAACAGAAAUACCUGGAAGCUUCUAGAUAUUGUCACUAAUGAAUUUGUUGUCGAGGACAAUUUUUUGUUGAACUCCCGAUCUCACUGUCACUAUGUUACGGUUCUACAAUGUAAAUUUGUAAAUUUGAUGUUGAUCUUAAUAAUAUCUUAAUGUUCUAGAAUUUUGCAAGUCUUAAUACAGUGCUCUUUACUGGCAUAUAGGCUAUUUUACUGACAUGAAACAGGCAUUGGUUCCUUACCUUUUUUAUGCUAAUUGGAAUAUUUAGUCUCUCCAAAUUGAAAAUGAAAUAAAGCAUCAAAUAUGCUAUCCCAAACUUAAUUAAAUUGUUUAAGUUUGCCUAAGAACACUUUGAUCUCACAAUUAAGCCUAGUCUGUACAAAAGUACCACAUUUUUAUGGCAGUUGUUAUCAAUGCAAUAGUCAUAGUUGAGAUCUCCAAGUAAAUAAAACUAGUGAAAAUACUGUUAGCUUUUGUAAUUAGAUAUAGAGCAAAAAAGCACCAUCAUAAACGCAAGUAAGUAUAUUGUUAUUAAGUUUAUGUGGUGUAAGGCAAAUUAAAAUUUGUCAAUUAUGAAGAGCUAUUUUUUUUUUUUUGUGUACACAAAAAAUAUUUCAGCAAUAAAUAACAAAAAUUUGCAUAAUGGAAUUGAUAAAGGAAUUAAAAAAAAAAUUUACCAGAAUCUUAAUAGGUAACCAUUUGUAUCAAGUUACUAAUACAAAACAAAAAUGUAUUUCACCAAUAUAGUUUUGGUUUUGUUUCUUUUUCAUAAGAUUUUUAUGCUUUAAAAGUUGUAAUAUCAAUUCUUGCGGCUAUAUUUUAUUACAAAUGAAACAAAUAAGGUAUGAUGUUUAUGUGUUAAUUUAAAAUAUAAAACUUUCAUACACUAAUAAUGUAUGCUUAUACACUAGCAGGUCUAAAUAAAUGUUACUCCACAUGUACAAAAUUCAACUUUAGGUUUUAUGUAUCUAUCAUGCAUUUGGACUUGCGAAUGUGUACAUUAUCAGUAGGAAUGUUUAGUCCUAAUUUAAAUGUUAACUUUUAGCAUGUAAGUUUUGCCUGUGUAGGCUAUUAACUAGAAUAAGAUUAGGGGUGGGCAAAAUUAUCCGCUAACCUGAAAAUCCGUCAUAUCCGAUCUGAUCCGAUCCAAAAAUUAGGAUAUCCGAUUUUUAUUAUUUGAUCGGGUCAAAAGAGGGUCGGGUACCCGCUAAGAUGCGGGGCGGGUUAGGGUCACAUAAUUGAAAAUCCGCAGGUACCUGAUCCGCCCCGCAUAUAUAUAUAUUUUUUAUUUUUACUUUUAUUUUUAUUUUUAUACACACAAUAUAAAAUAAUAAGUUAGAACUAAAUAAGUAAUUUUAUUGAACAAAUUGCAUUACAAAUAUGAGAGACUAUAGUUUAUUUACAAGAUUCAUUUAUAGAGGCCAUGAUCUUAUAUUUUAUAGAAAAAGUUUAAUUAAUGUGGAACAUAUAUAUUAAAAAUUGUGCUCCUUAUUUCAAACUUUUAUUGAUUUUGAAUUCUUUUAAUUUUUUUUCUUUAUCUUAUAUUCUCUUCACAUGCUUGUUUCUUAGUGGGAAACCUUUUUUUAGAAAAAAAAUUUAUUAAAUCUUAGAUGAAUGUGUAAAAUAUAAAAUUAAAUUGGUAUAAAUUAUUUUUUAAAAAAAAUAUUAAUGAUAAAUGAGGCGGGGCGGGUACCCGCUGACCCGACCCUAUUUCAGUGGGUACCCGAUUAGCGGGGCGGGUAAGGGUCAGAAAAUGGUUGACCCGCAAGAUACGGGUCGGGUCAGCCAAAUGGUGAAUGGGGCGGGUACCCGACCCGCGCCCACCCCUAAAUAAGAUAUACAGGUUGCUUGUAUUUUUUUUCCCCCUAAGGUAAGGAUUUAGUUUUUUUUUAAAAAAAAAAAUUCUUACUUAGUGAAUGAUAAUUCUGGAAAUUGGAAUAAAAUUAGAUGAAGUCAAGACAAAAGGUGGAAGAAACUAUAGGCUAGAAUUAAAUUGCCACGGAGAAUAUAGCUUCGAGAAAGUUUGAGUAGCUGAUUUUGUACAAACAAGUCCUAAUUUUACAAAAAAAAGUCAUAGUCAGCCAAACCAAGUAUAGUAGACCUAUUAUUCCUUCUCAAGAAGUCAUAGUCAACCAAGUAGGCGGUAAUAAGUGCAAUUGCUGCAACUUCAUUUACAAAAAAAGAUCAUAAUAUAAAAUCCUCGAAUUAAAAACGACUAGCAUGCAUGAUUUGUUAGGAUAUUUAUGUGAAGGGACUAAAUUCACACCUUUUAUUUAAAAAAAAAUUCUUAGUAAGGGAACGUGGGAUUUCAGAAGUGGGGAGGAAGGGCGGGAGUGGAACAAAUUCCAUACCUUAGAUAUUAAUAUGCUACUAAAAUCCUUAACAUUUAAAUGUUUUCCUUUUAACUUUAUUGGACUCCAAAUUUAUGUUUUCACACUAAAAUAAUGUUUCUUACAUUAAUCUUUUAACUUCAUUUCAUUCUUUUAUACUAGGGAGGGAGAGGCCGCGCGAUGCACGGGAAUUUGGUACUUGUGAUUGAAGAUAAUUAAUAAUUAUUGUUUAAUAUUUUGUAGUAUAAGAACUGAAGUAUGAUGAUUUUACCAUGUUAUUUUAACAGAAAAUCAUAAGUUACAUAGUGAGUCAAUAUAAUAAUGUGCAAUGAAAUAUCCUUAUUCUUAUACUAUAUAAGAAUCAGUUGUGAUCAAAAGUUAUGUUUGAAUUUCAACCGCAAAGAUAAGGGUAGUUUGGAAAUGUAAGAAUGUUUGAAGUGCAAUUGAAAAGUAUCCAAAAGUUUUUUCUAAAACUUAUUCAAGACGAUAAAACAUUUAAAAGUAUCAAUUGGAUCCUUCAUCUCCUGAAUCUAUAUGUAUUCGUGAAAGAUCCCUCAAGCAAUGCUUCUGAUUUCUCCCUCGACUUAAGCUCAAGUUGAAUUAUCUAAUCAAGUUUAUCCAUCAAUCACUUUGCGUCCAAUCUAAUAUAAAAUAAUUUUAUUUUAGACUAACUAUUUAUAUAAUUUUGUGGGCAUAAUACGACUUAGUUACAUGUUUCUUAUAGAAAUAAUAAUGCCAAAAAUGAUAGAUAGAUAAGAAACUUAAGUGGUCUCUUCAAAGUUCUGUAGAAACGAUUCAGAUUUGAUGUUUUUAGCUUGGAAAAUUUCUUCAUAAUCUCAUAAAUAAGUUCAAAUCUGCAUAAUUGUUAAAGAUCUGAUUUGAAAUUACCUUGAUUAUAAAAAAUUGGUGCAAAUAAUAUUUUCUAAAUUUGAAAUUGUAGGAAAUGGUUACUAAAAUCAGAAGAAAUUGCUCAUAUGAAUUCGAAUUGCAAGUUAUGGUAGAAACUGCUUAAUAUUUUCCAAUGUUUACUUGUAUAAGUAUCCAAUAUAGCAACUCUACUUAAUUGACUCAUUUGAACUAUGAAUAAUAGUUGUUUCAAUCAAAUCAAGAAACAUUAUUUAUCAAUGUACAGUACACAAUUAUGAGUAAAUGAAUUAAUCGAAUGCAAUCAAAAUAGUGUUGUAGCUGAAGCAUUUAAACUCAUCAAGUUCCACUACAAAUUCUUUUAGAUAGCAUGUUAAAUAAUAUCGCAAAACUAGUUGUCAAAGUAAAAAAGUAAAUUUUUUGUAUUUGGAAUUAUAUAAACAACAGAAUACAAGAACGAGAUCAUAACAUGGAAAGCAAAUAGAGUGCAAAUUACAUCUUAGUACCAUGUAACAUGAUUAAUUUUCUUUUUUAGUUUCAAUGAAGGACAAAAUACUAAGUUAAUAAAUUUUACAGUCAUAAAAUUUCCAAUUAAAAUAAACACAAGCUGAAUUCCAAAUCAUAUUACAUGAAAAACUAAAUAAAAAUAACUACUUGAACCAUACAUUAUCCAUAAUAUAAAAUGCCAUAAUAGUUCUGUUCAACCAUCAAAAAUUUUGUCAAGUAUUAAACUACUGGCAGAAUCACCAGGUCUUGAUCCCAUCCCUUCUUGCUAUGCUUACUGCAACACCCACACCCAUUAGCCUGUUGCCUCAGAACCUCAAGUUUCAAUCCCUAACAUUAUUUUUUCAUAUCUUACUUUCAACAAUACUGAUUAGCAUCUUCAAGCUAUCUGAGACUUUGGAAGAAGAUGUCAAGACUGAGGCUUCUUCAUGGUAACUACCGGAUCAUUCCCUUUUCUUUUUUUUCUUUUUCACUUGGGAAUUUGGAUUCCUAGCUACUUAGUAGCAGCAAGACACCGGGAAUUCUAGAAAUUCAGACUCCUUUCUUUCUAGAACUGUCAAAAAACAUCAUGCUUUUACAUGAUUUAGUUUGAGUGAUAUAUAGUAUGUGACGGUGCGUGUGGGUGGUAAAUCACGACACACCAGAAAGUCUAAUGAAUGCAAUAUUUGAUGUUAGCCACUUGGCCGAGGAGGUGAAGAUGGGAUAUGAAACUAAGCAUGUGUUGGAUCCAGUGUGGCACGAGCUUCAAUGCUUCCAAAAGGCAAAUCAAUCUUCUUCAAGACUGAAGGGACUUCCUCAAGGUCGUCCUCCAACUUGCUUUUGGAAUGCCCUCAUGUUAUACCCUGUUCUAAUUAAACUUUGACUUAACAUCUAUAACUUAUAACUAAUAAAUUUAUAAGAACAACUAAGUUCCGCUACUUUAAAAAUUAGUUCUACACAACUUCAUUCAAUGAAUUAUAAGCAAGGUGAUAAAAUUGCUAACCUUAUUUAAGAUAUAUGCAACAAAGCCAGGUUUUGAUACCAACUUCAACCUAUUCCACAAAUACAAGAACCAGAAAAUAGUACAAUUAGUUAGUUUUUGAAAUUAGAAGUAUUAAAAAGCAAACUAUAUGGAGUUCUUGAAUAAACCAAUCAUCAAAAAAAAAAAAAAAAACCACCUCAAACCCAAAGAGCUCACCUCAAUUUAAAGAAAAAGCUACGCCUUACACCAAAUAUUUAAUAGCCAUAAUAAAACCAAAGAGGUGAAAUGGAAAAAGAAGAAAGGCUAUCGGCUGAACAUGGAGGCAUAACUAUGGUGAUGGUUGUUUAGGGCAAUCAGCUGAACAUGGGGCAUAAAUAUGAUAAUGGUUGCUCAGGUAAUAAUUAGGUCAAUUAAUUGUAAUUAAAAUCCAAUUAUGUAAACAUCCAAUUAAUUCCUUAACAGAUGAGAAAGGCUUCAGGAAAUUGGAAGGUUUGGAUGUUAGUAUAAUAAAUAAUUAAAAGGCCUUUUAUGUAAUUUUAUCAAAACACAAGCUUAAUUCAGUUAUACCUGAUACUCAACUUGGCACCAAACAUUAUCACUUACCAAACCUGCCCCUAGCCUUAAAUGUCUGAAAGGUUAUAUAAGUAAUUAUAGCAAAAUUAAAGCUGGAAUAACUUGUACUUAAUGCUCCAAUUAUACUUCAAACACUCUCACAUUCCCAAAAUAGCCUCACCCUUGCCGUUGAAAUUUAAAAACUAUCUUUGCCUUAAACUCAUUCUUAUAUAGUAUAAGGAUUUCAAAAUUUUUCUAAUUUUACAGUCUAUUUAUAGAACGAGUAUCCAAUAAGUACUCAUUAACACACCUAACUUAUUAUGUAUAUAUACAUACUAACAAUUAUUAUCAUUUAUUGCAUUUAUACACCUUUUUAAAUUAAUUUUAUUGUUAGGAAAAGUUAACAUAUGAAGUACAUAUCUUAACAAGUUCCAUUACAUACCCAUUGGAUUGACCCAUAAUCUAUUUAGUAUCAGUGAAUUUGUUUUGAGAUUUUUUUUAUUCAAUAGUGAAACAUGUAAAUUUUCAAUUUGAAUAAAUAUAACAAUUACAUUUGACUAGAUUAUAAUAUUCCCUGUAACAUGUUGGCAUAUAAUCUUGCUAAGGUUUUGGUUAUUACAUGAUCAAGUGCAUUAUCUUGUUAAGGUUUUGCUUAUUACAUGAUCAAAUGCAGUAGUGCCAGUUAUAUGGAUAGCUGCAUGAUUCUUCAACAUCACAAAGCUGAGAUUUUUAUGGUAUUAAAAUUCGCUAUUUAUAAUAUUUUGGUUACAGAUUUCUUGUUUAACAAUAGUUUUGUAACUGAAAAAAGCAUUCUGGAUUUUAUAUUAAAUGAAAUAUAUAGAAUGAUAUACUAUUUUUAAUACCCUAUGUGAUUUAAUUCCUAAUAAUAAACAGCAAAUUCUAGAGUUUUCUAAAUUUUUGGGUUGGUAUUAAAUUAAUUAAAUAAUUUAGUAAAUGAGGGGCAAUGGUGAAAUUAUAUUAUCUCUCUUUUCUAAUAUCACUUUUUAAUUGUUAGUUAGAACUAAAUGUUACAAGAUAAUAAAUCCCAGAGGAGGUUAAGAAAAUUUUCAAAACCUGGAGGGAAAGCAGCAAAAUUGUCAGAAACCUCAGGGGAGGGUAGGUUUCUGAAAUUAUCCCUUUUGAAAAUUAACCCUGUUGUGACGUCGUCCCUCCUUUUCCUAGGGAAAAUAGAAUAAGAAUAAAAAUAUAAAGCAGACGCAUAUGAUCACUGUGUCAUAGACCAAAACAGAUUGGAGAGUUUGAGAGGGACGCGAAAGCGGUAUCCCCAAGCUCGUCUUCCGCUACUUGGGAUGUUCCCUGGUACUACGUUCUCACCCCCUGAAGUCUUAUUUUUUCUUAAUUUGAUUCUGGAAAAGUUAAUGCACAAAAAAAUUAACAAAAGAUAAAUUUGCAGCUUGGACUAUAGCGAACAAAUUUGCAGUAUCUGCAUGGUGCGUAAUAAUUUAUUCUGCAACCUUUAAAAUCUGCUGCUUUUAAUAGCGUAUCAUCUAAUUUGGCCCCGUUAAAUCUGGCAGGCUGCAUUUGAGAACCAAGACAAGGUUGCAAUUCUCUAUUAUUGCCCGCACGAGUUUCAUGCAGAUUGCUUGAAAACGUGGCUUCUGAAGCAGAAUACUUGUCCUGUUUGUAGAGCCUUGGCUUUAAUACCAGAAAAUAUUGCAGAAUGCAAUUACGAUGUGGAAUUGCACCAAGCAUUUUUCUUGCCUGCGGGUAAAGCUGUAAAGCGUUUCCCUUUUCUAAAAUACUUCUGUCCUCGACUAGAUGGCUGAGUACCAUAUAUCCUCCUUUAUUAUUAGUAUUUGAGCAAGCUCAUCAGGAAAUAGAAGUGUCUUUUAAGUUAUUUUAUGUAUUUUGCUGACUUUUCAAGUUAAACAUGUCCUCUUUAUGAUUUAAGCAGGGACUUAAGAGUAGUUUUGCAUGAAAUUUGACGAUGGAUGGAUGGAUCGAUCUUAGGACCUUUUGUCAUGUUUUUGUCCGAUCUUUGAAAUUAGGGCCUCUACUUGUUAUUGCAGCUUUAAUUUACCAAAACAUUUGAUCAAAUACCAAUUCCAUCACCAAACGGGAACGUCUUGUUCCUGAGAGUUUUACAAAGGGAUGUUUUGCACUUAGUUUGGUCUUGGCAUCAGUCAAAAGGUGAAAGUAGGGCUCCUCAGAGUCAGACCCCUUAAAUAUCCCGGGCAUUUAAUUGGAUCUUGAGGUUUGGCCAAGUCACCAACUAAACCCAAUAGACAAAAUGAAAGAAAUGCAAGAUUUAUUCUUUAAUGAGAAGAAUUAAAUAAAUGCCAAAAGAUUAGAAGACUUUUGAAAAAUAAGUUGUGAGUUGCCAGCAAAAAGUUUAAUCAUAAGCAAGAAAUUUGCAUGAAAGGAAUGCAUGAUCCCAAGUCCCCAACUCCUAAUAUAAAGAAAUUAGCAAAUAAAAGAAAAGAUAAUCAUCGAAAUUGCAGAGAAACAUAAGAGGAAAAGGUCAAGUACCAUAGAAAAAAAAAACAAAGAAAGGAAAAUUUAAGCAAGAGGUAUUUGCCCAGAAACUUUAGGAAAUGAGAACAUAUAGGAAAUGCAUUGUGAUGAUCAAAUACUAAAUUGGUGCAAAUUAAGUAGCCACAAAAAUUUUUUUUUUUUUUAUUUGGCUUAAGGCUUUAAGCUUGUAGCAUACUUAGAUCAUGUAGCUUUUCUUUCAUACUUUAACCAUGUCUAACUUCAUAUCCUAACUAUGCAAUUUUUUAAGGCUUUAAGCUUGCAAUAUACUUAGGAUCAUCAUAUCCAACUGAUGCAAUUUUAUACUCUUUCUUCGUGUCUCAUAAAAACAUGAGGAAAAAAGGGAAAAUGAUAUAUACAUUUACAGAGAAUGUCUAGAAAGUAGAAACCUCAUUCUCCUUUACAAAACGAAGACGAACAAAAACGUAAAAAAUUUGAUUGAAAAUUCAACCAAAAAGCCUAUAAAUGGCAACUCUUCUUUUUCUUCUUUUCCAUUGGCAAUUAGCAAAUAACAUAAAACGCAAUGCAAUACUGAU